CACCUAUUUUUCUACAAAUUACCAAUGGUGUGUUGGUAUGGCAGGGUGAGAAAAAUAGUUGGUAUUAUGUUCAUAGAGCUUACAAUAUAUGUUCAAAAGUCAUUUGAAACACAUCUCACUUGAGAAGACCCGACCAUCGAAAUUCUAUAUGGAAACUCAAGGCGUUGUCAAAAGCAAAAAAACUUGUGUAAAGAGUAUGUUGCAAUUGUGUUUCCAACUCGUGUAUGACUAAACAAUGGAGGUCUUGCAUGUCCUUAAGAAUGUGUUAUAUGCACUGAUGCCAAUGAAGAUUCUUUCCAUGCUCUUUUCACUUGUCUUCAUGCAACUCAAGUUGGGGUCUCUGUGAACCCAAGGGAUCCUGUAAAUAAUGUAGUGAACGAUUAUGGCAACACAACAACAAUUUUGUUUCGUUUAUUGGAUCAGCUUCAACUAUCACAAUGCUCUUUAUUUGCAUCAGUCCUUUGUAGUAUCUGGAAGCACAAUAAUUUGAGAUUGUGGCAGCAAGCGAAUGAAAUAACAUCACAGGUCUUUGAAAGAGUUGUGCAUAUGUUAGAAGACUGGAAAGUUGCCCAUGAAUUGAGAAAACUCGUAGGUGCACCAACACCAAAUAUGCCACCAGGGCGAGUAACAUGAACAAUGUUGAAUGGCGGAGACCAAUCUCAGGUCGACAAAAAUGUAAUGUAAAUGCUUUCUUCUUGUCUUCCCAUAUUAAGGUUGGUAUUUGCAUGUGUAUUUGAGAUGUCGAUGGUGGUUAUGCACUCACUAAAAUUGUAUGGUUUGCAUAAUUGUGUUCGGUGGUGGUUGGCAAAGCUUUAAGACCCUGUAAAGCGUUGUCGUGGGUGGAUGACUUAUAAUUGGAUAUGACAGAUUUCUCUUUGGAUUCAAAGUUCGUCGUUGUUGCUAUCAGUAGCAACAAUGAUUUUGGAAGUAUUACUAGUCAUUGUCGACAACUAUUAUCAUCCAAUUUACCAACUCUAAAGAUGUAGUUUAGCUGGAGAUAAGUAAAUGUGGUGGCUCAAGAAUUAACACAAACACCGUCAUUAGAAGUCAGUUCCCAAUUAUUUAUCGAUGUACCACCUUAUAUUAAUGAUUUAGGGCCAGUUUGGUUUGAGUUUAUGCAAAUAAAUAAACUUUUAUUUAUUAUUCACGAACUUGUUAAGAUAGUUUAUGAAAAAACAAUCUAUUAAGAUAAUUUUUCGUUAGUGAAAACUUAUGAAUUAAUAUAAAAAUAUAUUUAUUUGCAUAAACUAUUUUUCAUUAACUCGAUCCAAACAUGACCUUACUAUUUUUUUUUGUGGUGGCGGGGAUUCGAACCCCAAAUCUUACAUAUAUCAUGCAUUAUCUAUACAAACUGAGGUAAGCUCACGAUGACACAUGACCUUACUAUCCAACAAACAAGACAAAAUUUCUCCCCCAAAAAAUAUAAAACUUUUUACAAAAUUUAGCAAAUAAAUAAAUGCUUUUUUUUUUACAAGAAAAAUAAAAAAUUACUACCUCCGUCCAUAAAUAUAGGAGCUUUUUGCCAAAAUUGCGGAGAUUGAGAAAGUUGGUUGUAGUAUUAAAUUUGUAUAUAAUUACUAUUGUUUUUACAAUUUUAUUCUUAAGAGAGAGAGUUAAUUUAUAUUUUCAAUAUAAUAUUUAUUGUUGAUUGAAGAAAAAAAUACAAAAUAAAUAAGGGUAUGUUGGUAAAAAAAAUAAUUAAUAUACUUGAAAAAAUAUUCAAAAGGGUCGUAUAAGUAGGGAUGGACGCACUUAGUAAAUGAUAUACUACGUGCCAGUGCUAUGCCACCACUGUUAUCCUUCAUCAGUUCGUUCUCAUAACUCCAAGUUACUCACUCCACUCUCACUUUGCCCUUUUUCCCAAAACCAAAACCCUAGAUUCCAUCUUCAUCAUUCUCUCACCCAAACUUCUAAUUUACAUCUCUACCCUGCAAUCAAGGUAAUUUACUCACCAAGUUCGUUUUUUCCAUGCAUUUAUUGUACUCUACACUCACUUAUUCACUAUUUCUCGCGGUUCACUAACUUUUUCUCGAUAAAUCCUUUACAGAUCUAUCCCCUAUUCUCUUUUUAAUGCUGCUUCUACUUGUAGAUAUCAUGUGGUGUAAAAAUCUGUCUUUUUUUGUUUAGUGUGUUUUUGGCAGUGGAAAUUCCAUGGCCGAGGUUGAUCAGAACGCAGGUGAAUUCGAAGAACAACAGAAAAUUGUUGAGACGGAACAAAAUGAGUCUGAAAAGGUGGUUGAGGUGCCGAUUGUUGAGCCUGAGAAGAAAUGGCCGGGGUGGCCUGGUGAGAGUGUUUUCAGAAUGUUGGUUCCUGCUCAGAAGGUGGGUGGUAUAAUUGGUCGGAAAGGAGAGUUUAUUAAGAAGAUUGUUGAAGAGACACGUGCUCGUGUUAAGAUUCUUGACGGGCCUCCUGGAACUUCAGAACGGGCUGUGAGUGUUUUCUCUAUUCAGCUUAUAUCUGUUUUUCUCAUUAACUGGUUGGUUAGAUAGUUAGCUGCAUUUGUAUAUCGGUAGCAUUGAUCUCAAAUGUUUUAUUUUUUUACCAAGCUCUUGCUUUUUUUUACUUCCUUCGUAUUUUAAAGGAUUCCUUUGGUUUUGAAUAUAGUUUUAAAAUUUAUGGUCGAGUUGUAGAAUUAUAUUCAGUGAUAUCUGUUAUUUUAUGGAGCUUUGCAGUGAUUGUACUCCUUACUUGCAAUCAUGACAUAGUUAUAUCUUUUAUCCAUACUUUUACUAAUCCUAGAUAAGUACAUUAUCAAUAAAUAAAUGAAAAAUGUAUGCACUGAUGUGUGUCUGAGCGUCGCAUUUUCUAAGACAAGGACUAAUGCGAGAAAUAUUUACGUAUGUAAUUAGGUAUAUACCUAUAUAAUUUGGGUCCAAAAUGCUUGUAAAUAUUCAGAGUAGGAAUUAUUGGGAGAGAGGGAAAGUACCUUUAAUUCUUUUCAAGGAACUGGAAUUUGUGUCUGAAACAAUUCAUAGCAAUUAUCCAUUUAACUAUGUCUCUCUGCUAAAGAUGUUAUGAUGAAGAAUAGAUUGUGGCUGUCUUUCCUUAAGCAAUCUUAACUUGCAAUGUCCUAUUCUCACGACAAGAAAUUGUAAGAAUAAAAAAUAUAGCUUGUUUAUGGUCAGAACAAAGUGAAACCUUAUUCAUGUGAUACAAUGAACACAAAAACUAAGAUGAAGAAGAUGAAACACAUUCGAAAAAGAAUUAUGGAAAAAAUCCACGAAAUAUGAAUUUAAUUCUAACAGAAAAUGAAUCUGUGCAGGUUCAAUAUUCCAUUUUUAAAGGCAACGACUCAAUCAUCAAUUAGAUCCCCAAUACUGAAGAACCAAAGUUCCAGAUGCAGGAUCAGCAUUGAGCAUUGCAAAGUGCUGAAAGUUUAUUAACACGUAGUCAUUUUAUAUCAAAGUACCACGAAGCUCUGCAUUCCAGCGGGUAAAUUCAAAACCUGGAUGAUUGAUGUCUUGCCGCAGAUUCCUAGCAAUGAAAAAAAGUUUAUCACCAGCUCUAAUACAAUACCGAAAACAAUAAAUACCAAACCAUAAGUAUUUUGUUUGUCAUACAUGUUAUCAAGAAAAAAGGAUCCGAAGAUUAACUAAGGCUAUCAAUUAAUUUUAAUUUGAACACAUGGAGUAUGUCUAUGUUAAUAUUUGUUAUGUUAUCACAAUAGUUCUUCAGUAGGAAAUAUUGGUAAAAUUAUAGCUAUAAUUAACUAAAUGCACUGUAGUGAACCAAGACCCAAUCAAUAAAAAAAAUAGAAGACACUUCCACGGCGACAUACAUUUCAAAUCACGCGUCAUAUCACUUAUCGUAAUUAUGUUUACGUAUGACACACUUCCAUGUUUCUAAAAGGUUUAUCUAGGAAAUUCCUUUCACAUUUUAAUCACCAUUAGAUAUGAGUAGUAAAGAAUGUUUCUUGUGGUAGUUGGAAUUUGGUGGCAUAUUAAAUAUAUUGGCAAGGGGUUGGGACAAAAUGUUGCUUGUUUUCUUCCCUAACAAGAAACAGGUAGAGGGCUGGGGUAAGUUGCACGAGGUGCAGAAGUAUUGCAUAAAUUGGCAGUGGACAUAGAAAGGAAAACUGGUAGGGAGCGGGUGGGCGUUCUGGUUAGAAAAUGAGUUCAGGCACACAAUCUUCAAAAUUAUAUUUUAGAACUCUCCCAUGUUUUUUCUUCUUCUUUCUGUUGUCGAUAAAAGAUGUUUUAAAAUAUCUAAAUUGUGCUUCAGUUAUCUAUCUGAAAACCAACAUGCUGUUAUAUUGGUACUUUACCACAAGCAGUUUGACAUUUUAAUUUUCAAAGAUUGCAAUUGGACGAGGUUAGGUUAAAUAGUAAUGUAGAUUAUUUGGGUGCUAGUGCUAGAGCUAUUCCUCUUAAUAAUGCGACCUUUAAGACUGUUACAAAAUUGGUCUGGUGGUGAAGUGAAGGAUUCCUUCUGGAAUUUUUCUGACAGGUGAUGAUAAUGUAGGUGGCAUUGCAUGCUGAAUCUCCUAAUUGUUGCAUUUUUAAUAAGUAAAGUUGCUUGCAUUGCAUGCUAUCUUGCUAAUCCCGAGAUUGUAGGUGGCAUGUAAAGGGCUUUGUAAUUGGUGCUUUGGUGGCUUUUUAUUGUUUGUCACCAUAGUCUGUCUUCGUGUUGCAUAUUAUCAUUAGAGGAAAUGUUGAGAUCAAAGACAGGCUGAUAGUGUUAUUUGUUCUUUGUGAUUAGGUAAUGGUAUCAGCCAAAGAUGAGCCUGGUUCUUCUCUUCCACCUGCUGUGGAUGGCCUGUUGAAGGCUCAUAAACGGUUAAUUGAUGGGUUAGAUGCUCCUUCAGGUUUGGCUGGGAAGGUUUCUACAAAAUUUCUAGUGCCAGCCUCACAAGCAGGAAGUUUAAUUGGGAAACAAGGAGGCACCGUAAAAUCUAUCCAAGAAGCAUCAAAUUGUAUAGUUAGAGUUCUGGGAGCAGGUAUCUACUCAUAUUUGAUUUAAAACUUUCAAUCUGUUUGCUUGAUUGUCAAUUUUAUUAUUACUUAGCAUUUUGUUAUUCUGAGAAGUUCAUCGUAGAUUGUAUUACAAAUUUUUCUCACCCUAAUUUUUUAUCAGAGAUAUGGUUGGGAUUCAUCCACUGGGUACUAGAGCUGUAAUAGAGCAAUAGUGUAAAUAUGCUUUUAAAUCUAUUAACUGGGAUGGUUCCAAGUUCCUCUUCCUAUUCGUCAAACAUGUUUUGUGUUUUGUUCUUGUCACUGUUUGGUUUAUUACCAUUUUUACUAUUAUUGAUACUCCUCUCUUUAAUUGUCGCUUUUGUAGAAGAAUUUUGUUCCUAGAGGUUAAUAAGUUUGAUCCAAAUAUGGUUUCGGAUAGAACAUUAUGGCGUAACUUGAUCCCUGUAGCCGACCCCACUUAGUGGGAUAAGGCUUGGUUGUUGUUGUUACUGUUGUUGUUUUCAAAGCUCAAUGAAACAUUAACAAUUUUUUAUCCAUAAUACUCUUAACUAUUUAUUGCAGAGAGAAAUAAGUGGAAUGAGAUAAUAAAUAAUCAAGAAUAUUAUAGGAAUAAGACAUGAUUUCAUCAAAAAUAAUAAAAUUUAUUGAUUGUAUUAAUAUGUGUAAAUACCAUUAAAACGACAAGUUAAAAGAAACGGAGGGAGUAUCAUGUAAGCACUCAGAUAUGCAUAGCAAACUUCUAUAAUUACCACCUAAACCCUAAACUUCCGAUAAUUCCCGUUGUUUAUUAAUUCAGUUGUAAGAGUCAUGUAUUCUAAUCUAAGUAGUUUAGAACUUUCCCUUUCUAAAACCUUUUUUGUCUAACCUUUUCAUUAGAAAUUAUUUCUAAGAUACAAUUUGAAGUUUAUGCUUUCAGUCUUCUGUAGUUUAUGGUUUUAGAUAAAAUAUUAGUGGAAAUUUGAAGUUUUUUUUUCUUUCAAUCUUUCCAUUUUGGUUCUUGGAUUGGAUGGGCUGUUUGACAUUCUCUAGUUGCUAAGCAUCUUGCACCUCUGUUGUUUUUUUGUCUGCAGAAGACCUGCCUGUUUUUGCCCUUCAAGAUGAUAGGGUGGUUGAAGUAGUAGGGGAUCCCAUUGGAGUGCACAAGGCAGUAGAGAUGAUUGCAUCCCACCUUAAGAAAUUUUUAGUUGAUCGCAGUAUAAUUCCAAUUUUUGAAAUGAGCGUAAGUGUGUUAAUUCAUAUUACACUUGUGAAGAAUCUAUCUUAUGCUUACCGAGGAAUGCAACUAAUUUGAUCUUUCUCCAGAUGCAAAUGGCUAAUAACCACCCUGUGGAGCACAUGCCAGUGCCACCCCCACCCCACCAAUCAUGGGGUCCACCUCAGGGUCUCCCACCAAACGCUGGUGGAGGUCCUGGAUUUGGACUUGCUCCUCAAUUCAUGCCACCUCGAAGGCAAGUUGAUAAUUACUACCCACCAGCUGAAAUGCCUCCUCCAUUGGACAAACAGCCCCAUCAUGGUAUAUCCGCCUAUGGAAGAGAUGCUUCAAUAGGCGUUCACGCAUCAUCCAAUACUCAGUCUGCACCUUCCAUGGUCACACAGGUACUUUUCUUAUUUCAAAUUUUGUUUUCUAAUAAUCCCCAAAAGGAAGUAGUAUGGUGAUUGGGAUGAUAUAUUGGCAUUACAUUUGUAGUUUGCAUUUUUCUGGAUGUCUUAGAAUUUGCCAGUCCAUCUGUCGUUGUUUCUGUAGUUUGACGAGACGACUUGUUGACUGCUGCUUCAUGAAUUUUGUGCAAUAGCUGUGGUAAAGGCUAGUUGUGAAACUUUACCAGUGUUGACUGACAUUUGCUGUUGCUUUCCACUUUGCUGUUUAGAUUUAAGAUAGCAGAGGGUGAUGUUAGGUUCCACACUUGGAUGUUAAGCUGAAAUAUUAAAGCUAAACAAAGCAUGUCUAAUAGCAUUCGAAUGUCAUCGUCAGUUCUUGAGAUCAAGGCCCCGUUUGGAUUGAGCUUAUGAAAAAGAUCUUAUGCAAAUAAAUAAGUUUUUAUCUUAAUUCAUAAGUUCUCACUAACGAAAAUUGUACCUUCAUAAACUGUUUUUUCAUAAACUACAUUAACAAGCUUAUAUAUAAUACAUCAGGGCAUAUUUAUUUACAUAAGCUGUUUUGCAAAAGCUCUAAAAUAAGCUAAUCCAAACAGUGUGAUUGGUGUAAUGGUUGACCAAUAAUUAAAGUUAGGUUUCAAAAUGGCAGUUUGGAUGUGGGCAUGCUGUUUUGACUGGCUUGAUUCUUCCUCUUAAUAGAAAUUUAUACAUUUUUAUCAAUACAAAUUGUCUUGCUAAUGCUAUUGUGGCACAGAUCACGCAGCAAAUGCAAAUUCCUCUAUCGUAUGCUGAUGCUGUUAUUGGAACAGCCGGAACAAAUAUAAGCUAUAUCAGAAGAGCUAGUGGGGCCACUGUUACCAUACAAGAAACAAGAGGAGUUCCUGGGGAGAUGACAGUUGAAAUCAGCGGGACUGCUUCUCAAGUACAAACAGCACAGCAAUUGAUACAGGUAAUCCUGAUCUUGGUCUUUGAUUUGCUCCAGCCGUUAUAAUAUUAGUGUCGUCCUAGGUUUUCUUCAGACUAGGAAAAACUAUAAAUGAAUAAAAUAAUAUUGUAAUUUUACAAACUUUUACUCAUUUUUUUUUGAAGCUAAAUUAGCCCACCCUAAUUGGCAAACUUUUCCUCAUUAACAGUUGGUUAUUAACCAUUGUUAUACUUGGAGGUAGAAUUGGAAUGAAAUAAUUAAUGCCACUUUUAAAAAACAAAACAUUUAUUUUAAGACAUUUUUAUAUGUCAAAGCUGCAUGCAUCUUAGUUUAUACAUUACAGUUCAUAACAUGCGGCAUGUCUUGGAAAUUUGUUUUAGAUUUAUACUGAAUUAGAUUAAUGAAAAAUUAUUGAAUCGUUUACUGGGUUCCUAAAAGAUUCAUUUUGCGCUAGAGUUUUAUCGAAGAUUAAUUUUUUAUGUAAAAAUAGAGAGAGUAAACUAUAAGACUGUUAAAUUUCUAAAUUAAACUAUUAUCCUUCCGCGAGUAUUUUUUCAAUAAGUUGACUGGUUGAGUAAGAAAUUUGUAAUUUUAUCCGUCCUCACCCCGUCAUUUAUUUGAUGCAAGGAAAUUAUCUUCAAUCUUUUCUCUUAUUUCAUUUCAUGCAUUAUCUUUUAUUUUCUCAAUUUGUUUCCGUAGAAAAGCUAUGAAUUUACUGUGCAUAGUCCUAUCUCACCGGAUGCAUGUCUUGGAUGUUAGAACUGAUUGACCUAACAUUAUCAAUUUGCAUUGUACUCAAGCAAUAUAAUCUUGAAUCUGUGGUGCAGAAUUUUAUGGCUGAAGCUGCAGCACCGGCGCAGCAACAAACAGGUGGGCCUCCUGCAGACCAAGGAUACAAUUCCUACCCUGCUCAUAGUUCUGUCUAUGCGUCACCACCUUCCAAUCCAGGACAUGCUGGAGCCUAUGGUGCAGUUUAUGGUGCAAACUAUGGGUACCAAUGAUGAGGCAGUAGAACUAAAGCUUCCAUUAUUGAAUGUUGGAAACAUAUUUAUUUAGUGUAAUGAUUCAACAACUAUUCAACAUUGCGCUUCAUGGUUUGUUUCUGAAUCAUACAAAAAAUUGUAACUUAUUUUUGACACCAGUGUUCUGUUUCUGUUGGCAGUCAUUUGGAAAGGUCAAACAAACUUUUGAUGGCCUUGUAAUGUAUUAUUAACUUGUUCUUUGAUUGUAUCUAGUUAGUGCAUCUGUGUCUCUUCCUAUCUUUUCAUAAAUCGCAUGCUAGUUAAAUACUAGGGGAAAUGCCAACGAGCUUGUAGCUCAAUUUGAUGUUAUUCGGGCCACAUCCCCUUUUUGGUUAUUAGGGCUUGCUUAUUAGAGAUGAUUACUCAUCCCCUAAAAUGCCACAUUUUCAAGAAGCACGUUUUACUAGUGUUUUUUGACAGAUUUCAACACAUAGAAGUGCCUGAUUGCAAGAAGCACACAUAAAUAAAGGCUGUAACAAUCAAUCAGUUCGUUUAAUAUGUUAAUGUUUGGUAUCAUGGUGGCUAUGCCAUUAAUGACACUGAUUUUUUAAAACUUACAUAUUGUAGUUUUUUAAAAAUCUUGGCAAAUCGUUGUAAUUCUGACAUCCAACAUUUGCCAAAGUACAUGAAGAGAGCCCUUGAACAAGAAUAGUGUUGUGCUUUGAAUUGACUUGAGCAGAGGUCGCAAAAAACAACUCAACUUUAUCUUCUUCAAUGGCGGCUAGGCUACAAAUUCUGCAAUAAAAAUCUUUUUUUUUAUUUUUUAUUUUAUCAUAAAAGUAGCCAAAGCUUAAUCAUAAUCUUUUUAGCUAUAUAGCACACACUUUGCUUAACAAGGUCACGCCGACCAUCCCCCACAUAAACCGACAUUUUAUAUACCACCUGUCGGUUUCAACCUUUUAACCAAUGCUUCUGUUCUGAUUGAAAACAGUCACAAUCAUUCACAUAAUCACAUAUGCAUAAUGUAUUGCUUUUUAACUAUUGAAGUUAGGAUAUUGACAUGAUUAUUGCCUAUUGGUAUAGUUUUAGCUACUUUGGAACUAUUAUGAAAGAUUUAAACAAUAGUUCUAAUAAGAUCUCUAAAUAUUUUUUUUGGAAAUGCUAACCGGUGCUUCGGGGGCACUGGUUAAGGAUAUGAAAAAGAAAAUUAUAUAGUAAUUAAUGCAUUGAAAUUGUGUAAUUAAUUUAUAAUAAAGUUAAAAGCAGUUUUUUUAUGGUAAUAAUUCCCUUUUAUGGUAUGCUUAAUCAGUGCCUCGAAGCACCGGUUAGCAGAAUCAAUAUUUUUUUUUUGAACUACAACUAGUAUUUUGUAAUUAAAAGUAUGAAUUUAGACGCAUAGUUAUGUAAAUUAUUUAAAAAUACAAUUACUACAAUUAUCUCACUGUGUCAGCACUCAGCACACUCCUUUUUGUCCUUGUCGUUUCUUUUCUUUUUCCGCAAAAGAAUUAAAAAGAAGUUAGUAUUAUUUUGAAGCUUAAACCUUUUUUUGGGUUGGUUUACUCUGUGUUGAUCGCAUAUUACUCCCUCUGUUCUUAAUUACAGGGCUCUUUUGAAAAAAUUACGGGAAUUAAGAUAGUGGAUAUUUAUAUUAAAUAUAUUUAUAAUUACUAUUGUUUUUACAAUUUUAUCUUUUAAGACAGAAUUGAUUUAUGUUUUCAACAUGAUAUUUAUUGCUGAUUGAAGAAAAUUAUGUAUAAUAAAUAGGGGCAUGCAUGUAAAGAAAUAAUUAAUGUAGUUGGAAAUAGCAAAGUGGUCUUAUAAAAAGGGACAAAAAAAAUUCUCAAAAAGGUCUUAUAAUUAUUAGGGACGGAGGGAGUAGUUAUUAUUAUUUCAUUCUCUUUCUCUCAAACACAUUAUUAUUAUUGUUUAACUUCAUUUCUACGGUACGAAUCGUUUCUAUUUUCUAUUUCAUUUUAUUUUCAGUUUCAUGUAUAUGUAAUAAUAAUUAAUCACUCAUAACUCCUUUUUCUUAAUUUGAUCUUGUUUUAUCAAACCUGUUUAUACAAACUAAACUAGUAUUGUUCUUCAUAUAAUUUCAGAUUGUAUCAAUCAUAUAAGUUUGAUCUGAUUCAUUCAAACUUUGAAAGUCAAUGGUUACUACCAAUGAAGUUUCAUCUUCAUCUUCUUCUAGAUGGCAAAAUUUCUAUACAAGAAUUACAACAUCAUUGGCUUCAGCUUUACUUGAAUGGUUAUUGAUCAUUUUCUUAUUUAUUAGUGCUAUUUUCUCUUAUGUUAUUACUAAAUUUGCUAAUUACUGCAAAUUGAAAACACCAUGUUUGUUUUGUUCAAGGCUUGAUCAUGUUUUAGGCAAACAGAAAAGAGGUUACUAUUUAGAUUUGAUUUGUAGUCUUCAUAAGUCUGAAAUUUCUGAAUUAGUUUUUUGUCGUGCCCACGACAAGCUUGUAAAUAUUCAAGGAGUUUGUGAAACUUGUGUCUUGUCUUCUGCAACCGUCGAUAAAUCCAAUGCUGAGACUUCCCGGUUAUUGGUUGGUAAAUCAGGGGAAGAAGAAGAAUCUGGAUCUGUAUUUGAUCAUGAUCCAUUACUUGGUCAACAUACAGUUGCUGGACACUGUUCUUGUUGUAGUGAGAAAUUCCAGUUAGAUGGUCAUGAUCAAAAUUUGGUAUUUGCCAAGUCAAUUCGGUCUAGGGCUGUUGAUUUCGAUGAUUCCGGUGUUGUUGGAAAUGAUUUUUACGGGAAAAGAACUGCAAAGCUAUCUGUAUCAUUCAGAGAUGCACGACUGAGAAACGAUCAUGCGGAUCCUUUGUCCCGUGUAGGUUACACAGAACUUAACAUUACUUCUGAUACCGAGUCUGAAUUUGAAGUUCCCAUAUCAGAUGACGACGGUAUAAGUAUACCAAUUCACGGGAAAGAUGAUACCAAGGAAGAUAUAAGAGUUCCAUGUGAAUAUAUGGAGCUUUGCAGUGUUGAUUCAACUGAGGAUCUGACUUCCGGGAAGCCUGGGACUUCAGCUUCUGUACUUGAGCCAUUGUUGUCAGAACCACGAGUACAAGUAGAAAACAAAGAUAUUUGUGCUAUUAAAACCGCAGAAGCAAUAGUGGAAAGUGGAAAUGGUUUGACAGAACUUGACUGGCAGCAGAUUGAAAGAAGUGAUGUUUGUCCGUCCCCAAGCGAGCCUAUUUCCUUCAACGAUGUUCCUAUAUUAUCAAAUAUAACAGAAGUGCCUGUUGAAGUAUCAAAGGAAAAGUGUAAGUUACUUUUUGUGAUUGCUUUUCUUUACCAUGUAAUGCUUGGAUUUGAAGGAUAGAGGAGUCUGGUAUAAUUCUUUGUAGAAAGUUGAUGCAAUUAAAUAAUCUAGUUUUUAAUACCCAAAUAAUCUAUUAUAAAUGUAGGACGAAAAUGUCUAGUGCCUUUUAUACAGCUGAAAAAUCUAUAUUUCACUAUUUUCAGUUCAUAAGUGCAUUAGUUUUAUACAUAUGAAAAACCUUUUCUCCAUUUCUUAAAUGAUAUAGAAUCAUAAUGUUAUUGUUUCUUGUAUAGAUGAUUUUAGAACUGACGAAGAGGAGCUAACAUCUGAGCGAAGACCCGCCAUGGACCGUGAAGAAAACAUUAAGUCAGGCAAUAAGCUAAUAACAUCUGAAACAGGUUUAGAACCAACCCCAGUUUCUAUUGAUACGUGUCAGCAAAAUUCUAAUUUGCUGGAUCUUGGUGAUGCUUAUAAGCUAGCUGUCAGUAAUAGAGGAAGACAAUUGUCUGGCAUGCUUGCAGAACAUUGGCUUGGGAAAGAUUCCUCAAGAGUUAAUGAAGAUCUAAAGAUAUUGUUGUCACAAUUCUCUGCCACUCGAGGGACUGAUAUGUCUUUUAAUGAUAUCAGUCCUAGAUUGUCUAUGAAUAGCGAAGAAGCAAAGAGUUCUGAUGUUACUAACUCUACUGGAAUGCAGAUACUUCAAAAAAUGAUUUCGCUUGAGAGAAAUGAAUCUGGUUUGUCUCUAGAUGGAAGCAUUGUCAGUGAUAUUGAAGGUGAAAGCCCGGUUGACAAGCUUAAAAGACAAGUUGAUCAUGACAGGAAACUUAUGAAUGCUUUGUAUAAAGAGCUGGAGGAAGAGAGAAACGCUUCUGCAAUUGCUGCAAGUCAAGCUUUAGCUAUGAUCACUAGACUGCAGGAAGAAAAGGCAACAUUACAUAUGGAAGCCUUGCAGCACUUAAGGAUGAUGGAUGAGCAGUCAGAAUAUGAAUUGGAAGCUUUGCAAAAAGCUAAUGACCUUCUUGCUGAGAAGGAGAAGGAGUUAGAAGACUUAGAAGCAAAGGUUGAGUUUUAUAGGAAGAAAUUCCCUGAUGAUUCAAUGCCGGAGAACAUGGUGGAGAAAAACUCUGAAAUGAAGGUAAAAGAUAUUGGAUUGGAUCUUUCACAAUGCACUUUCAUUGAAAAUGAUGAAAGUGGCCCCCGAAAAUCAAAUCCUAAUAUCUAUGACAAAGCUGACCUUCAACUCAUGUCUUCGGAAGAAAAGAAUAUUCAAUCUGCACAAAGUUCACAAAUGGAGUUUCAAGAUGAAAAGUUAUAUAUUUCUGAACGUUUGAAGAAAUUGGAGAGGCAAGUAUACUUUUUCCUGAAUUCUCACCAGUCUCAGGAUAAUUGGCCUAAUUCUGAAAAUGUUGUAAAGGAAUACCCAGAAAACUCUGAAAAGUUGGACAAAAAUAUUCCAAUGGAAGAUUCGGUUUCGUCAUUCAAAUUAAAUUCAGAUGCCAUGGUUGAUGACCCGUCAUCCAAAAAACCUCCAGUUUGCAAGCAAAACGGUGAACUUGAAUACUCUGGACACAACUCCUCUGUUCUAUGUGGAGAUAAUGAUUUAGCUUCUACUGGAAGAUUGGUUUCAGAUUUUAUUGAAAGGUUACAAGCUCUUGAGGCAGACCAUAGUUUCCUUGAGCAUACUAUCAACUUACUGAGCGAUGGAGGUGAAGGGCUUAAGUUAUUGCAGGAAAUAGCUGAUCGUCUGCAACAAUUACGCAGGAUCGGGAUAAGAGAAAUAGAUCAACCUGUUGCUUGAGGAUGUAUAUAAGGUUAGUAGUCUCUGCAGAACCAUUUCAGUAAAUAAAAGCACCACUCUUUAGUCAUUUUUAAACUUACAUACACUAUAAUGAAAUCUAUUUUAGCAUAUUGAGUAUGGAUAAAUGUCUGUGAUCCAAGAUAAGUAAGGGAAAAUUUCACAAAUAGAACACUUUAUUCUCAAGGUUAGUUAUUUUUUUAUUGUCUUAUUUACAACACUGCUAGAUUGUUUAUGCAAAUUUAAGAUAACUAUGAACCGACCUCCCUGUAAUGAUACAUUGAUAAUUUAUAUUUUUGUUUUUUGAGGAGGAUUCGUGUCCAUGUCGAGAUAACAUGCGGUUGGAUAAUAUAGUAAUAUAGUUAUUCAAGUUUAGUUGGUAGUCGGUAUCGCGGUAUUUAACUGCAGUUCUGUUCUAUAGAAAAAGGAUGCCAGAUGAUAGUAUGAUUCAGUGCUGGAAUUUACGAAUUUUAAUGUGCAGUAGUAGAUUGAGUGAAGUCUUCUUUAAGGCAUUGAUUAUUUCUUUAGUUGCCAGAGUGUAAUAUUCAUUGAUGGAUAAAUAAAUCGUGUAAGCACAUAUUCGGACUGAGAUUAACUAUAGCUAGCAAGUGUGAAACAGCAGGAUUUUAAUUCAGGAUAUUCUAAUCAAUUUAGAAAUGUGCAUGCCACAAAACUAAAGGUGUUUAGUUCGAUCAUCCCCUAGAAAAUUUCGUUAACUGAGAGACAACUAAGAAUAUCAUUGAUCAAUGUCAUACCAAACUUCAUAUUCAUAAUUACGCUUCUAAGUUGCAGACCUCAUCAUGACAGAUAUUCACGUGACUGUUUACAUACUAGCAAAGAAAAAUUAAUAUAUGAACUGGUUUGGAAUUUGGAUUUUCUAUUGAAACCAAAAUUCAAAUAAUGACUGUGGCCAUUAUAUUAUAUAUGAAGUUAAAAUCUUCACUCCACUUGUGCAGUAGUUAGAGUUUUAGGAACAUCAUAUAUUGUUGCUCUCAACAAUGGUACGUUAUUCAAAUAUAAUUUGUAUUAACAAACUAUUUAGAGUUGUUGUUACUUGAACAAGAAAACAGUUGCAGGAAAUGAACAAGACAGAGGAGAAAUAACUGAUUUCAUUCAUGAAAUUGGUCUGAUAAUACAAACUGAACACACACAACCUCUUUUACAUAGUUUAACAAUACUAAAACUUCCAAUAACUACCACAAUCCUAAGCAUGAUAUUUAACAAGAGUGAAGGAGCGAAGACUUCGCAUCAUAAUAAGAUUAUUUAAUAGACACGGGGCAUCUGUUUUGAAUAUUGUUUUCUGAGUGUUUGUUUAUAAAAUGCAAUUUGGCUUCUGAUUUCAGUGUUGUGUACCAUUAUUUUUACAUUUUUGUUAUUUAGAUUUUACAGAUUCGUAUACCAAUGAUCAGCCACCAAGAAGGUACAUUGAACAACGGUGAACCAGGUAAACCAUGACUGGUUGCAACUGUACAGUAACAAUAUAGCUUGAUAUCAUCCAGGGUACAAGAAAAUGGGAUUUCAAAUUAUAUUGAGAGCUUUUUCACCCUUCCUUUUUUAGGGGAUAGUUUCCUUGGACAUUUUGCUGCAUUGAGUUGUAAAGGUUUUUCUCUGCCCAUUUGAAUUGUCUUUUACACACUUUUUAUUUUCUUUUGUAAAAUGAAUAAUAAUUGCAAUGAGUGGUUGCUUGUUUAAUUUGUGUCUUCUUGUAUUGAAGUGAGUAUUUUGUAAACAGUGUGAACUAACAUUGUUUGUAUAUGGCUUUUAUUUUAUGUGGUGUUUUUCUCCCUUGUUUCCUUGAGUUUGAGAGUGAUGAAUUUUUGCAUUUGAGAGAUAAGAAAGAAACGAGAGUGGAACAGUGUCUGUAUUUCACAGUGCUUUGAUUUGAUUAGCAAGGGUAAUUUUAAAAAGUUCUUUCAUAAAUUAUUAUCUCUUAGAAUUACUUUGCGAAGUUGAUAUACUAAAAACACAUGUUUGUUUGAUAAUCAACAUUACACUAGUAUGAAUGAAACUGAGUUUGGAGAACUUUUGAAGAGCGUCCUGAUUUUGAGCCAUGUGAAUUUAAAAUACUCUUAUGGGAGGAAGGCCUUGUUAAAGGCCAUCAGUAUUUGACCAAAAAAAAUGUUAAAUACUUUGCACCAAAAACUUCGAUAAAAAAUACACUUGUUUGAUAAAUUUCGAAUGUAAAUAAAUUUUGGAAAUAUGAAAUCAAACUAAUGAUAGUGGUGGAGGUCAUAAGAGUGGGUUGGGGAUGACUUAGUUUUGAUUCUUUAAAUGGAGCUCACUUAAUUUUGUGUAUCAUUUUACAGGUCUUAAUCAUCAAAACAAUUCAGCUAUAUUUUCUACAAAAUAGUAGUUUUGUAUUGAAAAUUACAAUUUUUAAACUUUUAAAUAGUUUAAUUCAUCACUUUUUAAAACAUCUCUCUAUUUUUGUUCUCUUAAUCAAUGUCUUAAGAACACUCUUAGAGCAUUUAUAGUUUUUUCUUUUGUGGUGGUCGGGGUUUGAACUUCAGACCUUGUAUAUAUUAUACAUUGUUCACAUCAAUCGAGCUAAAAUACGAAAAUAGAAUAUUCAUAGUUUACUAUCUCUUGUAACACCUCAAAAAUUAAAAAUAAAUGAGUUACAUCAAUAAAUUUAUAUUGUUAUAUUUUUGGAAUCCGACUUUUAUAAAGUGAGCUACAUUUUGUCAAAAAAAAAAUAAGGUGAGCUACAUUAACCAUUGAUUUAUAAAUCAAAGGUAAAUAUUGUACGUACGUUAUAAUAAAUCAUUAGUUUAGUAAAAUAACAACCUUUAAUUUUUUGAAAAUACUGUAAAUUUAUUUAUUUAUUAAAAAAAAUGUAAGUGGGAAUGGGUGAAUAUAUAUAGAGAGAAAAAUAUAUAUUAUUUUUGUUAGACUCUUUUUUUCCUUUCUAAAUCAAGAGUAAAACGACACGAUUAACAAAUGUCCCAACUGAAUUGACACUUCACUUUAAUCCUAUCUCAACUGCUUAUAUACAUUAUUAAAAAAAGAAAAAAAACAUAAAAGUGAGAUGUUUAUUAGAUUUUAUUCAACUGACGGUAUUAAUAUUGUUAAACUGAACAUUUAAAUAUGGAAAUCACAUUUGUGUAUAUGUUUUAGAUGAUGUCUGUUAUCUAGUCUAUAAACCAAUAUACUACUAUACAUUAAAGUUUGAAAACUUAAGCGAAUACCUUUCAAUUUAAUCACCUAAUCCACGUUCACAUAGAUAGAUAAUACUCAUGUUAGUAAUAAUUUGACUUUUUUGUUGUUGAAGGAAAUAGCUUAUUUAGACGUAAAGGUUACUUUUCAAUAAGUAUAAGUUAUUUCUACAAUUCAAGAAGAAAAAAACACUGCAAAGGUGGAAGCAACUUACGGUCGUAGAGAAGUUUAUGAAAAUAAGCCAAAAAUUUAGAUAUUUUCAUGAACACUUUCAUAUACUUACAAAAAUGCUUAUAUCAUUAAGCUAAAUCCAAUUAAACCUUCAAACGCACGGUAUAAGUAACUGUUAUUUUCUCUUCAAUGGGUUGUAGCACGGCCUGCCACUAGAGCAUUCAUAGUGAGCCAAAACAUUAGAUAUAUAUAACUAGAAAUAAAAUAAAUUGCACCGUAAAAAAACAAGUAAAACAAAGAAGUAUGCUCUUCUUCCAUCAUAUUUUGCUCGUUUUCAACUAAACUUCCCAAAAUACUCAAGCGUGAGUUAACUCACGCAGUCGUUAUACUCAAUAUGAGUUAACUCAGGCAGGUGUUUUUUCAUGUUUAACUCCUACAUGAGUUAACUCAAGCGAGUGUUAUGUCCAACAUAAAUAUUUUGGAAAGUUUGAUUGAGAGCGAGCAAAACGUAAUGGAAGAAGAGCAGAGUUCUAAAACAAAUUACAAAACCUUACUGGUUAAUGUAUAACUACUCCAAAACAGAUUUCACCACUUAUCAUAACUAAAUUAUAUAAAAUAUUAGUUUGCCCGAAUAAUACUUCUUUUGUUUUAGUCCACGCAGACUCACUCUGUUCCUUCUUAUAAGGACUAUUUGGAAAAGCAAAUUUGUCCCUAAAUGUAAUUGUUCUUUUGAAUUAUUAAAUGUAUUCAUCACUUUUUUUUUAAAUAUAUUUCUGAUUAAUACUAAUAAUUUAUUUUCUAAUAUAAAAAAUUAGAAACAAUGAUACUCAAAAUGUACACAUUAAUCACACUUUCAUUUUUUAAUAUAUCUAAAAAAGUGAGAAAUGGGUUUAUGUGGAAAAAUGGUUUGUCUUUUGUAGAAAGCAAUAUGAACCUAAUCAGGUAGUUAAUGAACUAAACCUAAAGAAAACCAUUUUCUGACAUAAACCCAUUUCUAACUUUUUUAGAUAUAUUAAAAAAAAAAAAAAUGGAAGUGUGAUUAAUGUGUACAUUUUGUGUAUGAUUGUUACCAAUUUUUUACGUUCAUAUUAACAUGAGGAUGAACGACAAAACUAGAAAUAUUAACAUAUUGAAAUUAAAGGAGAGCAAAAUUAUACUAGCUAGCCCAUAUUUGUAUGGUCUUUUUGUGGACUAAUUAACUUAUACAUUAAUGUCGGAGUGUUAGUUAGACUCGUUCAACACCUCCAACUCGGAAGUGUGUUUUGACAAAACGUGAAGCUUGGAAGCGUGCGUGUACCACAAGUUUUGAGUAUUUUGACCAGCCAUAAAAAAAUGAAAGAAAACAUGCGUUACCAUGGCCUAAAAAUAAACAAAGGACAUAAAGUAGAAAUGUAUAGUAUAAACAGAUUUAAUAAGAGAAAUAUUUCAAGUUUCAAUUAAAGUAAUAAUAUUAAUACUCAUACUUAUUAUUACGUGGACAUCCGUGAUGUGAAUGCUUAGCAAUGUAAAGGAAAUUUCAAGAUGUUUGAAUUAUACAUACAUACAUACAAGUUGCACAUUUCUUUGAAAACUUCAAUACGCGGAAUAUUUGGUCAACUAAAUUAAUUAAUAAAUCAAAACCUCGUCUUAUAUAAACUUUAAACAUCUCUUUCAAAUUUCAUUAAACACAUAUUUACAUUCCACCUUCAUUAAAAUCCCUAGCUAAUCCAUUCUCUCUUCUUUUGAAGUUCUGAUCACACAAAUUAAUUAUGGGUAGCAAUAACAUGAUAAAGUUGUUCUUGUUGACAACAUUAAUUCUUCUUGUAUUGAGUAUAGAGAACACAAGUGCAGCAAGAACACUACUACAAAGAGGUCCAGUGAAAGGUUCAACGAAGAAUCCAUGCUCUACAGUUCCUGGUCGCAGUAAAGGGCGUUGUACUUUGGCUGAAAUCCAUGUUGCUGGACAUAUUAACGUUGUUCAUUCAUCACCACCACCUUUUCCUGCAGAUAUAAUUCCCAAGUUUGGAGCAGCUGUUAUUAAUAAUGAACAAAAAAGAGAGCUCAUCAAGACCUUCACUGAAUCAGACAAACAUCUACAAUUUAAAAAAUGAUUGCAAUAUCAUGAAUCAGUCUUAGAUCUUUCUUUCUUUUUUUUUUUUGAUAAGAUGUAAUUUUUAUACACACAGAUUUUUUUCUUUUUGAUUUUUAUUUUUUUAUGAGAGAUUUUUUCUUUUUGAUACAAACAUCUUGUUAUUACUUGUUAAAUGUAUAAAACUAACUGCAUCAUACAAUUUUUGUAUACUAACACAUUUAUAGUUUGCUAUAUCAUAUAUAUUAAUAUAUACAUGUAUGAUCACCAAUUAAUCUCCUAUAUCAUAUAUAUGAUUCAAUUAUAGGUAAAUAUAUAUGUAACAUAUAUAUAGACACAAAGUGAUUCUUGAACCCUAGCUGAUAGUUUGUUUUACAGAAGGGGAAAAGUUUAUAGAAUACAAUUUUUAUUCUUGUUGUGGAUCUAAUUAAUUAAUUUGUAUAAUUUUCUAUAAUUAUUAUUUUUUGUAUAAUAACAAAUAUCAAGAAAAAAAAGGGUAUGGGUAUACUUGUUUUCAUUUUCAUUAUUUUUUUUCUUUCUUCUGGCCAUUUGUUACAAGUUUCAUCUACUUUUCAUCAACCAUCUUUGCACCGUCAAAUUUGUAAGCUGGCAUGGCUGCAUUGCAUUCCCUUACUAUUUUACUAAUUAUAUUCAAGCCGCGUGGUAGUCAAGAGUAGGUUUUGAAAUUUUCUUUUUCUACUUUAUAUAUAAUAUAAAGGAGUAUGUCACAAGGGUUGACAUUUGUAUGAUAAUAAAAUAAAACUACUAAAAAUGAAGAUCAUGUCAACAUUCAAACGUUUGAAUUAUUAUAUCUUGUGGCAUACUAUUUACUAUUUUCUUUUUGACACAUAUCUGGCGGGCUACUAACUAGUAGUUUAGUAAGACUAGCCACGGGACCAUAUUUGCCAGUCAUUUUUUUUUUUUUUGCUGGGGUUUGAACUCCGAACCUUGUAUAUAGUGGCGGAUCCAUAAAAAAAAAAACUGGACACCAAAGUUAGUAAUAAUAAUUACAGUUUUGCUUGCAAACGACGACAUAGAAUGAUCAAUUACAAGAUGCAGUCAAUAUUAAAGUAGCAGCAAUAUUGUGACAGCCAUGGGAGAGGUGUAUAUCUCAAUUAAUAACAGACUCCUAAAAUUCUAGAGAGGAUGAAUACAUAAUACAUUGAACCCUUUGUUCAUAGUAAAAUUAAAGAAUACAUUAUACAUUGAACUCUUUGUUCUUAGUAAAAUUAAAGUCAAAAUCAGCGACUUAGGUAAGUAAAAUAGGUAUAUGAAUUAGUAUAAUUAGAAAUAAAAUAAAAAAACUCACGCCAGCUUUGUGUAAUGUGUACAAAAUGAGAACCAAUCAAAAUUGUUGUUUCACAAAUCUAUCUGUAGACUAUGUAGAAUCCAUAUGUGAACAACUGAAACAACAAAUAAAACAUACAAAUUUCAAUAUCAAGUUAAACUGUUGGCUUUUGACCUCUCUCUCUUGAAUAAAUACAUUUAAAGAGAGAGGAGAGGGUGAGGGAAAAAGUGAGUUGAACUUGCGUGAGAAAAGACAGUAUGGACCAACAUGUAAAUUAUUUAAAAAUCUAGGGUGUAUUUGUAUUUUCCCCUAUAGAAAAAAAAAUUAAUUAUUUUUUGGGGGUGGGCCGUGGCCCACCUCAGCCCAUAUGGUGCUCCGCCUCUGCUUGUAUAUAUUAUGCAUUGUUUCUACAAACUGAACUAAGCUCAUGAGGACCAUAUUUGACAGUCACUUACUUAAAUAAAACAAUUGGUCUUGAAUACUAACUAAAUUAAUUUCUCGGCUACAUAGCAAGUUACAACGUAACAAUUAACAUGAAUGAUUUAACUUAAAUUUAAGGGUUAAUAGUGUUUUUCACCCCUGUAAUAUAUGUCAUUUCCGGUUUUCGCCCCUAUAAAAUUUUCGGUUUGAUUUGCACCCUCGUAAAAAAUUUAUUUUCCGGAAAACACCCCUAAUAGGCCAUUUUCAGAUUUUUUUUUUUUCAAGAAAUUUUGGUUUUUGAAUGGCGGGUGUUUUUCGGAAAAUAAAAAUUUUACGAGGGUGCAAAUCAAACCGAAAAUUUUAUAGGGGCGAAAACCGGAAAUGACAUAUAUUACAGGGGUGAAAAGCAUUAUUAACCCUAAAUUUAAAUGUUCAAAAUAAGUCAUCUAUAUUUAUUUUGGUACCAAAUUAGUUAUUGAACUUUUAAAAAAAUUAUAUUGUUGAAUCAACUUUCAUUCGUAAUCCGUUAUAAAUUUAUGUGCAUGAUCGUUGAAUGAUAAACACAUCCACCACAAACCUCCACCACAAACCUUCCACCCGAAAACAAACACAUCCUCUAAUACAACAGCAUGGACACUAUACCUCCACACAACAAUCACAAACAUAUCGCUUGGGCUACUUUCGGGUGUGGUUAAUCUAUUGUGUUUUUAGGGAUUAACAUGUAGCUUUAUUUUCAUGUUGAGGAAGUUUAAUGUUUUCGGUGUUCCGUAUAUAUGCGACAUCAUUGUAUUUCCUUUCCAGUUCUAUGUGUCUUGCACGAGUUUGGUAAAAAUAAAUUUUGUUGAUUAAAAAAAAUCAAUGACAACGACUUACAACAUCCACACUUCAUUCGACACAACUCAAUACAAAAUAAACUUUCAAAUUUCAAAUUGAUUCAUUAACAAACAAUCAUCCUACUCAAUUCUGCCUCAACAAGAUAUAAAACUAAGCCCUUCGGUACAACUAGAUCACAAAUACUAAACCUCCCAACAAUAACCAGAACCAAAGCGACAACCCAAAAUCAAACAAAGUCUCUGCACCAUACACCAACACACUCAACCUUUGCCAAAAAACAUAAAAGAGCCACAACCACUUACAACAGCUGCACCUCGUCUGACACAAUCCGAUUCACAUCAAUCUCUUUUGAUAGAAUAAACGUUUGACUUCCAAUGCCAUUUAGAUGUAUAUUUUAAUAUAAGAGAAGAGAGACGUAUAAUUCAAAUUCUUUUAAGGAAUGGCUUAUGGAUUAGAUACUGUAAUAGUCAUACAAUUUAAAUGUUAUUUUGGUUACGUAUAUAAAAGAAAAAUGACUAACUCAACAUGAUGACUAAUUUAACAUUAAGUAAAGAAGAUAAAAGAGACUUGUUUCAAACUUCAAAUUAGGUCAAAGGAGUGAAAUUUUGUAUAUCUCAUAUAUGUUUAAUUAACUGGAAAUUUAGUGAUAGUGUAAUGCUUAGAAGUACGAGCAUCUAUACAAAGUUAAAAUUCUUGCAUAGUAACACUUUGAUCUAGGAAAAUUGUUGUUGACACAUUUUGUUAGGCUGAGAAACACGAGUAAAAUACCAAAAUACCCCUUCGGUAGUUAACUGCCGAGGAAAUACGAAAUCGGCUGUAGUUAACUACCGAGGAUUUCCUCGACACUUAACUACCAAAGAUUUCCUCUGCAGUAAACUGCCGAAGCGUCCUGAAGCCAAGGCAGAGGCAGUAGAUUCAUUUCCUGAACCUGUAAUGUGUUUCAAACACAAAACAGAACAUAUGUAACUGUUUUUUUUACGCAUAAUGGUUCAAAUGGCAAAACAAAAUUGGCUCAUAUUAACAAACACUGAUUAUUAAACGAAGAAACUAAUGAACCAAUUUCAUCAAAAUGUCAUCAAAAUACAAUCAACAUAAUGUCAUCAAAAUACAAACCAAUGUCAUCAAAAUACCAAAAGUAAAACACAAGUCCUAAAAAACGAACUAUUGCUGGUCCUGGUCCUGCUGAUGCUACUGGUGCCUCCUCCUCGGCCUCUGGCAUCGCCUCCUGGUAAUUAUCGGCGCGAUCUGGUGCCUAACAUCAUGCAAGGCCGCAUACAACUGCUGAGGGGUCAUGCUCAUCACCUCCUGACCCAAAAACUCAUCGGCAUGGGCAACAUCGCCGCUAACCAUGUCAUAGGUAUCAGGCGAGCUUCUCGCCUCGUACCGCUCCCACUGCUCUGCAAUGAUCUGCUCCUCAUUUGGAGGCCUCGAAAUAUCUCCUGGAAGAAGUGGCAAAUUCUGAGGGUGAGACACAAUGGCGUACCAUCAUACAUAGCCAUAUGCUAUACGCCAUGUCUCCUCUCCUGGAUGCUCACCCCAAUCGGCCGACUUAAGCGCGUGAGUGCGGAAGUUGACGAAAGCCUGCACAAUCUCAGCCGGUGACAGCUCUACAACCUCCGACGGAUGUCUAGGUACGGUCUGGACGUAUCCGUACUGCCUCAAAACCCUUUCGGGCAAGUGACGGUGCACCCUACGAUCACCGCACAUAAUCCAGCCUGAAUACCAGAAUACCUCCUCAAAAGCCUGGAAGUCCCUGUGCUCUUUGUACGGCCUCCAACAUACGUCAUCGAACAUAAUACAAUCAAGCAACCGAUACGCGACCCCCUCUAUAUGACCCUUAUGAAGCUUCCUCCUCGCCGCAACCGGUAAGUUUUCAACAUACUUGGUGUUUGGAUCAACAACAUAAAACUUAGGAAAGUGCGCCAAAAACCAUGUGUGCACAAACCAAACAAAUCACAUUUAUAAAUUAUUACGCACGAAAAAUAUAACAAAAAAAUAAUAGUUAACAAAAAAAUAAAAUAUAAGUUUUGUUACAGUGAGCAGUGUCAUGCUUCCCCCAAUCUGUCUGUCUCCAGGUAAACAGCUCUCAGCUAACUUGCUGUAUAGGUAUGCAAGUGUCAUCCCUCCCCACGAAUAAUUACGCAUCCCCGCGUAGCCGUCCUCCAUGGUCGUCAGAUAGACCAACUCGAUGCGUUUGUUGCUUCUAUCCUCAAACAACAAGCAUCCAACCAAGUAGAGAAGGUAACACCUCACACAAUAAGUCCUAACCCUCUCCAACUCCUCCAGCUCCUCUGUAUCCGCCAAAAUGUUAGCCCUACCAAGGCUAGUCGUAUAUAAUUCCCUCAGCUUUGGAUAACUAAUGUACGCACCAUACUCUUUAUUGCAAAUUUUCUCUGCCUCACUCUUCGACGAACCCAAGUGCCUCACCAGUAGUGCCUCUCCCUCAUGUCUCAGCAUCUUCUUUCGGUGGCCCAACAUUCGCCCUUCAACAUGAAGAUGCAUAAGACAUGCGACAUCCUCCAAAGUCACGAUCAUCUCCCCCAUGGGCAUGUGAAAAGUGUUGGUCUCGGGAUGCCACCUCUCGAGUCAUCAGCAAAGCAUGAGACACAGUGGGGUAGCCCAAGAAAACCAAAUCAUGUAACCCUCUCUCCCUAAGCAGAUCCCAAAACCAUCUCUGAUUGCCGUUUGGACGUCCGAGACUCAAAAUCUUAGCACCAUGAUUAAUCGGUUUUACAUAACGGAACUUGCGGCACUGAAAUAAUAGAAAAAUAAACAUAGUUUAAACAAUGUAAACAUUUAACUAAUAAAAAUAAAACUUAACAAAUGCAAAAAUAAAAAUCACAAAUUUAAUUUGUCGCACAUAUUUUUAAUUUAAGACAUAACACAUGUAAAACUUAAAAAAAAACAUAACAAAAACAAUUUAAAUCAUAAUUAUACAUAAAGAAAACAAUAAAAGUUGAAAGAAAGAAAAUAUAAAGAAAAGAAUUAAAAAGAACACAUAUAAAAGUUUAUAUAAUAAUUAAACAAACACACAUAUAAAGAAAAUAAUUAAACAUAAAGAAAAAAUAUUUAAAAAAAUUACACUUACGUUUUCUGAAUUAUACUAAAGCGGCAAUGUCACAUGCUUGGCAUACGAGUGCAGCAGAGAUAGGUUUUCCGGUCCUCUAGGAAAGGGAGGGUCCACAGGUAACACCUCCGGGGCAGCCACUGCUGCAAUUUCAUCAUCGUCUGGUUCAUGUUGCUGCUGCUUUGGUAUAUGAUUCUGGUCAUACCCACCAUCAGUCACAUCGUGGUGUACCUGAUCCUGAUAAUUCUGGUACUCCACCUCAGACUGGUCAACAAGCUGUGACGGGUCAACAACCUGUGACUCUUCAGGCUGUGUAGCCUGAGAACUCCCUAAACCAUCUCCCCUCCGACCUCUUCCCCUCUUUGGGAUCUCCCUAAACCAUCGCACGCCUACAACCAAUCAUCUUAGAUGGAUCAAUGGGGUAUUGAUCGGCCAUAUCUACACAAAAAAUUAUAAAAUUAACAUCAUUUUCAUAACCUAAUCAAACACAUUAAACCUAAACUAAACAUAAACAUAAUCAAACACAUUAAAAGUACAACAAUGAACAUCAUUUCCAUAACCUAAAAUCAUUAAAUAUAAUCAUCAUUACAAUAAAAUUUAUGUUCAUCAUUUCCAAACAUCAUUCAAUAAUUAACAUACACUUAAUCAUUUCUAUAUACUUAAUCAUUUGUGUCCAUCAUAAUUCUCAUAACCUAAACUAACUAGAAAAUCAAUAUACACUUAAUCAAACUAUAAUUAACAUCAUUUCUAUCAUUUCCAUAACCUAAACUAACUAAAUAAUCAAUAUAAUUUUCAUUGAGGCAUUUGAUCAAACACUUUGUGUGCAAAGUAUAAAACAUAUUCAAAUUGUGUUCAUUUGCCACCAUUCAAAGCCACAUUAUGAUUUAAACAACAUAGGCAACAACUACAUUCAUUUAUCAAUUCAUAGAUUAUACAUGCAAUCAUCAAAUUGUCAAUUUUAAAAUCAACCCUAACCACAUGCAAACUACUAUAAUUUUUUUUUAAAAAUAAACCUAAACAAACUAACAUUAUCAUUAAAAUGAUUGAUACAACUUACUUGUGAUAAUGUGCAGUUGAUUUGCUUGCAAUUCGUGAAAAUAGCUUUGAUGAAGAGGGAGCAUUUACGUAUUUUAUUUGUGUGUCUCAGCCUUAUGAAAUAUGUCAACAUCAAUUUUUUUUACCUAGAGAUUCACUUUUAGUUUCAAUUAUUAUUGGCAUAGAUAUGUCUCCAAAGCUUGUAUUUUAACUCGAUCAGCUAGAGAUUCCUUUGACAAAGGACCACAAGUACUAUUCUGUUUGCAAGCAAGUUGCACAAUAGACGUGUAGAUGUAUAUGGGAACAAGAAGUUUUGAAAAUAAAGUUAAUGGAAGGUACAAUAAUAUAUAUGAAAAUGGGUUUAUUUUGAUUUUGAUUUUUGACGAAAAAAUGUGUCUAUUUUUACCUAACUCCAAUGCUUUGUUUUGAUUGUUAAAGAAAAUUAAAGGAAAGAAAAUAAGAAGAAAAGAAUAUUAAAGGGAUGGAAUGGAAAUUGUAGAAAAGAAAUUUUUGUGUACAACCACAUUUUUUUUGGAGAGGUAUAGGAACUACAUGUAACUCAAAGUAUAUGACAUGUCAUCAAAUUUUCAAUAAACACCCCUUAGGAACUUGAAUUUGAUUUUAUAGCGGAAUAAUUUUUUACCAAAAUUUAUAUACAUCUUGAUCCAACUUCAUAUCAUUAAGGUUUAUUUUUUUUAUGAACAGGAAGGCCAACACCAAUUUUUUCUUCUAUUUUUAUAUAGUUUUGAUUGACAUUUUUCUUCUAAUUUUACCUUUCAUUUAAACUAUUUAAUUAUUUUGUAAUAUUAUUUAAAUUUGUUAUGAAUUCGGACACAAAACUCACACCAAUACAAACUAUGAUGUGUGGAACAAAAGAAAGUAGUAACCAAUAUCAAAGUGAACACAAACAACAACAAUAAUAACAACACCUAGAUCUAAUCUAGUAAUCAAAGUGAAAAGUACAAAACCACAAGCAAAAGAUAAAGGGAGAGAAGAGAGGAACAAACACACCAAAGAUUGUUGAUUCAGUUCGGUCCAACUUGACUUAAUAUGGGGAGAGAUUGAUCUCUCCAAUCCACUAUCAAUGAGUUCUUACAAAGAGAUACAAAUGGGUUACAAGAAAUUAGCUUCAACAAGUUCACAAAGAACAACCCUAAUUUCUACCCAUUUUCUCAAUCUCACCAAUGAACAAGACACUCAAUGAUUUUCACUCACCCAAGGUGUUUACAAUGUUUUCCAACCCAAGAGAACUCUAAUCAAAGACCUUCAACCUUGAAGUUACCUCCUUUGAUUUCCCAAGUUUCUCUCUCUUCAAGCUCCUCUUCAAAAUCUGCAAAGAACACCUAUAUAGCAGUCUUCAGCUGUCAAAAUCAUGUCAUGUUUUCCAAAAUCGUGACACGUUUGGUGCGUACAACCCAAGGUACGACCAACCUUAUCCUGAAAACUUGCCCAGCAAGCCGAAAAUCGUGUCACGUUUUCCCAAAAUCGUGUCACGAUUGGACACCCUGCAAAACCAUGCUCACUGCCUGGAAAAUCGUGACAUGCUUGCUAAAUCGUGUCACGAUUCUCAUCAUUCUCAACUUCACAAAUUGAAGGCAAAUACAACAUUUCUCCACCUUGACUUCAAAUUGAUGAUGAUGCCACUUUAACCACCAACCACUAAUUAUCUUUUCUUUUCCUUGCAUCCAACUACACCAAGUAGCUCCAUAAGUCUACACCAAACCCUCUUCAACCACGGAACGUCUCCCGCUUCCUUGAAGAUCACCUUGCAUCCGAUCACCCUUGAUCUUUUAGGUAAUCACACAAGCCACACCAUACAUUCUUCAAACCCUGGAAUGUCUUCCGUCCUCAUGAAGAAUUCACAUGCUCACAACUAGAGCAUAUCACUCAAGGCCACCAUAGUUGUACCAUUCCAGGUGUCAUCAACUCCACCUUAAGUUGAGCUUUCUCUACCUCAACUUCCAAAUGCGUACACACACUAUGCCUUCACCUUGCAACUCCACCUUAAAGGUUGAUCACGAGUACUCUUCACACCGCCUAUCCAGGCUAACCAUGAGUAUUCUUCCCACCGCCUCUCCAUGAUGAUGUUGAGUGUUUAACGUCUCUCCAGACGAACACCACUCUACAAGGAAUCAAUACCAAGUUGAGAGACCUCACCUUCUUCAUCCUCCCAACAACUCACCACCAAAGCACCUUCAUCCUUAUACUCCUCGGACACAACUUGCACGGAGUUCUCAUUGUCCUCCGAACAAUCCCUCUUGAAGUGGCCAAACUUGUGACACUUAAAACACUUAUAAUUAUCCUUGUUACUGUUCUUUGAGCUUCCUCGGUUACCUCUACCUCCACCAUUUCCUCUUGAAACACUAAGAACUUCACUGUUUUCACCCGCUCUCAAGUCCUUAGACUUGGUCAACUCCCUGGUUCUUAAAGCCGCUUGAACUUCUUCCAAGGUGACAGUGCCUUCUUUGCCACAGAGCAUGGUAUCCUUGAAGGAUUCAAAUGAUCUCGGUAGAGCACACAACAAGAGUAUAACCUUGUCUUCGUUCUUAAGUUGCACCUCAAUGUUCUCCAAAUCAUCAAGGAUUUUGUUGAACUCCGUUAAUUGCUCCAUCACAGUCUUUGACUCCACCAUCUUGAAUGAUUAGAGUUGUUGCUUAAGGAAUUGCCUAUGAGCCAAAGAUUUGGUCAUAUACAAUGACUCAAACUUUGACCACAUCGACGCCGCGGUAGGUUCCUUUGCGACAUCCCUCAAAACUUUGUCACCGAGGCACAAUACAAUGGCACUCCUAGCCUUGUCCACCAUCUCGGUCUUCUACGCUUGUGUCAUGGUGACCGGCAACGCACCUUCACCCUUCAAAGCUUUCUCACACUUUUGUUGUAUCAACACCGCUUGCAUCUUCACCUUCCAUAACCCAAAAUCAUUACUUCCGGUGAACUUCUCAAUAUACCACUUUGAACCCAUGGUACUCACUAAACCAAUUCACUCCUAUGCCCCACGGUGGGCGCCAAUGUUGUGAAUUCGGACACAAAACUCACACCAAUACAAACUAUGAUGUGUGGAGCAAAGGAAAGUAGUAACCAAUAUCAAAGUGAACACAAGCAACAACAAUAAUAACAACACCUAGAUCUAAUCUAGUAAUCAAAGUGAAAAGCACAAAACCACAAGCAAAAGAUAAAUGGAGAGAAGAGAGGAACAAACACACCAAAGAUUGUUGAUCCAGUUCGGUCCAACUUGACCUAAUAUGGGGGAGAGAUUGAUCUCUCCAUUCCACUAUCAUUGAGUUCUUACAAAGAGAUACAAAUGGGUUACAAGAAAUUAGCUUCAACAAAUUCACAAAGAACAACCCUAAUUUCUACCCAUUUUCUCAAUCUCACCAAUGAACAAGACACUCAUUGAUUUUCACUCACCCAAGGUGUUUACAAUGUUUCCCAACCCAAGAGAACUCUAAUCAAAGACCCUCAACCCUAAAGUUAUCUCCUUUGAUUUCCCAAGUUUCUCUCUCUUCAAGCUCCUCUUCAAAAUCUGCAAAGAACACUUAUAUAUCAGUCUUCAACUGUCAAAAUUGUGUCACGUUUUCCAAAAUCGUGACACGUUUGGUGCGUACGACCCAAGGUACGACCAACCUUAUCCUGAAAACUUGCCCAGCAAGCCGAAAAUCGUGUCACGUUUUCCCAAAAUCGUGUCACGAUUGGACACCCUGCAAAACCAUGCUCACUGCCUAGAAAAUCGUGACACGCUUGCUAAAUCAUGUCAUGAUUCUCAUCAUUCUCAACUUCAUAAAUUGAAGGCAAAUACAACAAAAUUAUUAAUCAAACAAAUAGUCAAAUCUAAUAAAAUAGUUCAACUACAAUAUGAACAAGAGAAAUGCUAGGGACACACUCCCUAACACACUCUCUAACACACUCCAAUAAAAUUUAAUCACAUCACCCCUUCUUUUAAUUAUUUUAACCUGGCACCGGCACAACAAGUAGCUUAACUUUUCCUUCAAAAAAAAAAAGUCGCUUAACGUUAAAAAAUUUGUUCGCCGUCUUCCUCCUUGAUUUGUUUUCUGCCGAUGGUGGUGUUUGGAGACAUCUAUAAGAUCCUCCUUCUUGAAAAAUAACGACACCAACAGAACAAGAUCCAUUUCUGAUUUUUUUCAAUUUGUGGUCCCUUAUGACUUAUACACCCCUUUUCCUUAAGAUCCAUGGCACCCAUGAAAAAAAUCUCAUCAUCCCCAUUUUGUCAUCCAUGACUCCAAUAUACUUGUUCCAGCGCUCACUGUCACCAAUUUUCUUUAAGAUUUAUGUUUUUCUUUCAUUUUGCAUCUUCACAAAUUGAGAAGAGGGGUUGUUGUUAGAAAUUGAAAAUAAAAGUGAAUUAGAACGGGAGAAGAAAUGGAAAAAAGUGGAACGAUGAUGAUGGCUCACUAUCACAACAAUAUUUGUCACUCUGCAAAAUUGUCACAGUAGAAACUAGAAAGACAAUGAAAAAAAAAAAACUGCACCAUUUUUUUUGUUAAGUUUAGCAACCGGAAAAACAUGUAACAGGUAAAAGGAAUAAAAAUGAGAGGUGAUGUGGCAAAUUUUAAUUGGAGUGUGUUAAAAGAGUGUGUUAGGGAGUGUGUCCCUAGAAAAGCGAAGUAGCCACCUUUUUUUUUGUAUUGGUUGGGGUUUGAACCCCGAACAUUGCAUAUUUUAUGCAUUGUUCUAACCAACUGAGCUAAACUCACGAGGACAUGAAGUAGGCACCUUAAUCCUCCUAUGUAUUUCUGAUAGUUUAAUUUAAAAUAAAAGAAAUAGGUACCUUAGUCCUUUGUAUUGCAAUUAAUUUCUUUUUUGGGUAAGUUAUCUUCGCAAGUACUCUCCUCUGAAUCAAACUUUGUAAGACGGUAACACAUAUGGCGUGAGAAUCAUCAAGGCAUCUCCACCAAGCUAGCCAAAGACAAUCUUUGGCUCAUAUUUUAACUUCACUUGGAUAAGUGAGAAAACUAGUAUUUUCUUUUUUUAGAGAAAACAUGUAUACAAUGUCUUACAAUUUUAUAUGAAGAUGUGAUGUUAAGAUUCACUUGUGUGAUUGCUCUUAGUCCAAUAUAUUAUUACGUAAUACCAAAGGUGUUGCUCUUUCGAAAGUGGUUCGUUAGAUUGGAGAAAAAAAUGAAAACAAAAACCUUAUAAAAUUAUGGUGUUGGAUAUCUUCUUAGACGUUAAAAGUCCAUUAUAUUAUUAACUUUUCAAUAAGUAUUGGUUUAUAUUUAACGAUAACUAAUCUCCAUCGAUAAAUUCAUUAAACAUGCAAAGUCGAUUCUCUAUAGUAAAAUACAAGAGUCCUAUCAAACUCCUAAUAAUUUGUUAAACACACAAAGUGGAUUCUCCAUGGUGAAAGAGUUGUAUUUAACUUGUGAUAAUUUGCUUAAAGUGUCUUAUGAAUUCCUUGUAAAUGUAUUACUUACAGUAGCAAGGUUUGAGUGAUGCAUAUAAUUGAUAGAUUCUCGAGCAUUGGAAUUUUGUUUUGGCAGAAAGUGUCAAAAAUUUGGGGGGCAUUUCCCCCACCAGGUCACAUGGUAAAACACAGAAGUGAGCCAAAAAACUAUAGUACCGCACAUUAUUGCAAAGUCAUUUAAGGCAAGGCAAAGAACUGUUGUGGUCUCAGACUCAGACAUAUGUAUGUGGACUCACUCACCUCUGCUGUAACUUGCAAACUAACAAAUGCUAAAAAAGGCUAUGUAUUAUGGUCUUCACAUUGCAACAACAUCAAACGCGUGUCAUCAACGUCCUCCACUACUAUUGUUAAAAUAGAGUGUGCUCGUAAAAACACUCAUUUUUUUUAACAACACAGUGCAUGCUGAACAGGGAAAUAUAAGCACAUUAUGCUCUUAAUAGCAUAUAAUUCCUGUUCGGGAUUUCUGCCAUUAAUUAUGUCUGCUCUUGUCUCAAUGGACUUUAGUUCUCUCUUGGAAUAAUUUGUUGGGCUGGUUGGUUUCAUUAUUCUUUUUCUUUUGGGGGGUAAACUUCCAGCAUUUUGUUAUUCAAAGUGAAAUACGUACCAGUACUAUUUAUUCCUUGACCAUGCUGUUAGAUGUAGGGUUAUAAAACUGGGAUUUUCACGUGUAUAGUAUUCUGGUUGUUGUUUAUGUUAAAACAAAAAUAAAAACAAUUUUAAGUUUCAAAAAUAUUAAUAAUCACAUCGAUCAAUAAUAUUUUUUAAGGAAGCAUCUCUAUUUAGAAGGUCAACAACCUGUGAUGCUAGGAAACCGAAAAUGUCAAACGCAAAUAGUAUAAAAGUAUAUUGAUUGUGAGAACACACUUUCUCAUAUUUUGUCACUUUGCUGACGCAACUUUUAGAGAUACUCGUCCUUUUGUAAAAGCCGCUACCCCUAACCCCCACAAGUGGUGAAACCCUAGUCAAGUCUAGACAUGUAUGUUUUCCUCCUACCCAUUCGCACGCCAUUACAUUCGUAAGUCAAAGUGUCGAUCUUCUAUCUAGUGCGUCAGUCAGAAAGUUCACACGCGACUCCUUCUUCACUGAUACCCCCGCCCGCCUGAAUAUAUCAAAAAGUACAUCCCUAACAAAGUCGUGAUGUACUUAAAGUCGGGAAGCUUCUUACAAUAAACGACGUGCUCCCCAAAAGUAUCCAAGCGCGCCUUACGACAAACAGAGCACACCUCGUCAAUAGCAAAUAGUGGAAUCAUGAGGCAAUAUCUAUGGAUAGUACGUUACUCCACUGACAUAUGUUGACAUAACUCAUCAAUCAGGAUAGCUAGAAGAAAAUCCUGAGCAUGUGCUACUUGCAAACAUCCUAAAACUGUCUUCUGUCUAGUGGUCAUGUCAAACUUAACUUCCAUAUCUUGAACAAUUUUACUAAAAAGAGUACUCUCCAAAACAUGUGGUGCUUUAGGAGGGACAAUCCUUGCAAGUAAAACUACUAACGUCAAAAUUUGGAAUCGUAACACGAAGAUCAUCCAAAACAUUAUCAAAAUCUGAGUCCAUACGACAUAUCACACUGUCUCUCAAAAUAUGAUCUUGUAGCAUCCAAGACUGCACCCUAGAAGUCACAAAAGUGUGCAAGGAGAUGUCUACUGCUGAGUACAAACCUAGCCCCCCUAAACCUAAUAGGUAAAGAAGCCAACCUCCAUUGAAGAUCUCCAAAGAAAGGACAUCCACCAAUCACAAUGUCCUCAACCGCUCCACACAACUCUUUAUCAAACAACAUAGUCGCAUCUUGCAUAUGAAUCGGUUGGCACAUCCUUUGGCCAAAAAAACUUUAACGAUACCCAUGCAUGAUAGAAGUAGUUGUAAACUUUUAAGAGAUGUUUACCUAAGUUCCAAAAUAGUUUUACCGUGUUUAAUUUCUUAAACAGAUGCUUUAAGAUUUUCCAAAAAAAAAAAAAAAAACAUUUUUAAUGAAAGACGAAGUAAGUUAUCAAAGAACACUUAGAUGAGAUGAUAUAGUUCUCUUAUAACUUAACAAAGAUCAUGGAUUCGAAUUCAACCUUGAACAUGUAGCAACAUCAAAACUUUUAAAAAAGUUUAUCAUCCAUUUAAAUCCCAUAAAUCUUGAAGGAUUAUUUUUCGCAAUUGCGCAAAAUAUUCGGAAGAAAAAAAAAAGACAAAUUAAGUUCAAUUAGGGCAAGAUGAUCCCUAAGCAAGCAUAAUGAGAGAGGCGCGUGAUUGAUCUAUGUAUGUGUGGUUGAAGGAGCAGAGAAUGAAGGACCUACAUGCAGUGACAGCAAGGCAUGGGGGGCUACCCUAAAGAAAAGCAAGGAUGGAAAAGACAGGAUUCGAAUUUUUAAACACAGAAACCAAUUGUGUUGUGACACCCUAACCACCCAUCAUGUUUGAAAAACCGAGACACAAACCAAUUGCGUUUAUUAGGGUUUGACUCAAUUCAUUGAUGAUCAUCAAUACUACAACAAUAAUGGAUUUUUUGGCGAUAGUGUAUAAUGUAGCUAUUACUUUGUACAUCCAUGUAUAAUUGGUAGUAUAUGGUAUUGCAUUUAUAUUUGGAAUUAAUGAUACAUAUUAUGAUGUGGGAAUCUUACAAAAGAGGAGCAAUUCCCCUUAAAGGCAAACCAAAAGAAAGCAAAAAAAAUCACAAAAAGAAGACAUGUUAUUGUUGUAUUGUAUGUGUGUGUAAGAGUAAGAGAAAUGAGAGCCUGCAAUUUCCUGCUUCAUGUGUUUCCAAUGGAAAGGGAUAUCUAUAAUAUGUUAUGUGGGGUAAUGAGAUAAGUUUGACCUUGAUGAUGAGGGUCAUAUUCUAUUACAGUUGUGAAUGGACUGGACAACACUCAAAUAGUGUACAUGUGAACCUUUGGACCCCAAUCCCGAUCCUCUAUUUCAAUUGAAAAUGAUAUGUAAUAAUUUUUGGGAUACUUAUCCUAUGUCUCUUUGUGGCUACGAUACCAAUAUUUUAGGCAAUUAUUCUCUCUACUAUUCUCAAUCUUGUGUUAACGUGCUUUUCUCCAAUUCCCGUUACGUAAUCUUUGUCUGUUUUGUUUGUUAGUUUCAAACCUAAAAAAAAAACUUCGUAAAAAAUGACUAAAUGAUAAAAGAUAUUUUAAAAUAAUUUCAUUUCCCUAGCUAGCUGAAUUAACCAAGUGGCAAAAAGAUACUUCCUCCGGUCUCAAAUAUAAGAAAAGAUUCUCUUUUUAGGUUUAUUAAAUAAUUAAUGUAUCUGCUUUACAAUAUCGACCAGAUACAUUAACUACUCAAUGAAUCUAAAAAAAAGAAUUUUUUUUCUAUUUGAGACAGGAGGAAGUAGAUGAUUAGACCCUAUUGCACACCCUUUGAAAAGCCUGACUCGAUGGUCAAGGUAAUGCCAAUCAAUUGCCCUUAUUAUAUCUGCCUCCAAAAAUGACGAAACUCAAAUGUUGUCAAUAGAAUUAAAAAGAAUGUACAUUCCCAUUUCUUUAUAAAUAUAAUACCACCAUAGUCGCAUUAAUAGAGAAAAAAAAUCCAAUGGAUUCUUAGAACAAAAUCUACAAAUUUUAAGUAAAAAUGUAAUAUCAAUGUCAUUUUUACGAUUGCAUAAAAUCUAAUUUGAUGAUUUUUAAAUUUUCUUUGUACAAGGCAUGAGAACCAACAAUUUGAUCGUUUCCUUGAAUGAAAAGACUUUUUUAACAAUGUGGUCGUUAUUCUACGUGUCUUGUUGAUAUUGUGUAAAUAAUGGUAGAAGUGUUAGAUAAAUUAAUCAAAGUUCAAUGCAUGCAAUAAUCUCUAAAUUCCACUUAUUAUGACCACACAAGUUAUUUAGAUAAUUAUAACCCAACAAGUUCAUUGAACCAAUAAUUCAUUAAAUUGUCGCAUGUUUUUUUGGGUGGUAUGUAUUAUACUAAUUUUUAUUUUUAUUUUUAAAUUGAAUUUUUUGUUUAUCAUACUAAUGGAAUACACAUGACUCGUUUUAAUUAAAAAAUAUUUGAUUGAUAUUCGGACACCUCUUUGACAUCUUGAAAGAGAAAAUAAUAAAGAAGGUGAUGUAAUAAAUAUGAUAUGUUGGUGAUAAGAUGGAAGAGAAAAAAAUAAGAUGUUGAAUGUAAAUGUUGCUCUAGACAUGCGCCAAGCUCAAUGUUAUCUUCAGGAGACUAUGCAAAGGCUCACACCACUACCAAUCAAGGUAUGAUCAUUUACUCCAAACCUCACAUGCAUUAACCACAAUUACAUGUUGAUGAGCGUUGAAGAUGUAUUUAAUGCUUCACAAUUUUUUAUAAAUGUAUAUUACUUAUAAAUAUUAAAAAAAUUAGACUAAUUAAUUAGUACAUUAAUUUUAAUGUUUUUUGGUUUUUCUUAGUAUAAUAAGCACCGGGAAGAGUACUCGUAAUUAUGAAUCACAUACAUCAUUAAUUGAAUGAACUUAAAAAGUAAAAUUUGUUUAUAUUUUGAAACGUAUGGAGUAUAGAUAAGAUUUGAGAUUCGAACCCUAACCACAAAAAAAAAAAAAAUUAAAGAGGGGGAGCGCGUGAUGCAAUGAAAGGUAGCAUCAGAUUCUCUUAGAAAAGUCCAACGUCAUCAAGCGGACAAUACUCACUGGACAAUGUGAGAUACUCUCUGUUUUACCAUAAAGUUUUUUAUCAAAAAUUGGCAGCUACGCUUCCCAACAAGACAUACACAUUUCUUUCGCAUUCUUACUCACCGUCCCCCACUAUUUCAUAGGGUUAGUUUUAAAUUAAUCUUGUUUCUUCUCGUGAGUUUAAUUUAGUUGGUAUAAAUAAGAACAAUGAAUAAGAUUUAAAAAGAUCAAUUUUUAUUCAAUUAAAGAAUUAAAUGUCCGUCUAAUCCCAUAUAUACAAUGUGAGAAAUUUUCCUUUGUUGUUGUUAAUAAAAUAAAGUUUAUUUGUCAAAAAUAAGAUAAAAUUAAAGUUUAGAUAAAUUGGAUUAUGUUUAUAAACUUUCCAUUGUAGCAGAAGUUGAACUUAUGUUUUAGCAAGUUUGAGACAUUUGCUUAUCAACCAACAAUGACAGAAAUAUGAGAAUUUCUAUUGUACAUUUGAUAUUUCGAUGUGUAUUGAUGCAUUUGAUUUUAAAAAUAAUAGCAAAAUGAAUUUUUUCCCUUAAAAAAAAUCAUUUCCUAUAACUUAAAGAAUAAUAGUAACUAAAUAUUAUUUAUUAAAAGUGUUAGCGAAAUAAAAUUAUAUGCAGAUUGAGUUCCGAACUCUGAACACUACAUUUAUUCAACUUAAAAUUAUAAAUUUGUAACCACUAAAUUAAUUGAUAAAAAAAAAAAAAACUAAAAAAUAUCAUCACAAAAGAAUGACGUUCUUAUAUUGUCGAAUAUGGUCUUCAUUUGUCAUUACAUCACUCCAAAAGCCAACAACAUGCAUAUUAAAAAAUGUAUUACCUUGUUGAUCCUCUAUUUUUUGGAUUGAUUCUCUCCCGAAUUUGUAGCAUUUAAUUGUAUUAGAACUUGCAUAGAGACUAAUUUAGUAGUGAUACUUGAUAAUGGAUUUGAUCGAGACUGAUUUUAAUAUACUUGUUGAUCCUCUAUUUUUUGGAUUUGAUACUUGAUAAAAAAUAUACUUGUUGAUUUUAACGAGUAUUCCGGGAUAUUUUUAAGGACCAUAAAUAAUAAGUAUAUUAUGAAAAUGCAUGUAAUUAAUGUCUUGGAAUUUGACUUUUCUAAAAAAUAAUUUCUUAUUUUAAAUAGCUUAAAGAGUGUCUUGGAGACACUCGUUAACAAGACAAAAAAAAAAUAUGCGGAUUUUUAUUUCCUUUAAACCCACCAACCUCUAUGUAUAUGUUAUAAAUAUAAACGAUCUCAUCAAUAUUAAUAAGAGAAAUGAUAUUUGAACAAGCAUUUUAUGACAACUUCUCUCUCAUAUUCAUAUUGUUCUUAUACUUUCUUUCUCUAUUAUUUUGAUUUUUGUGUCAAUGUCUAAAUCCCUCAAUUUAUGAGGGAUACCGUAGAAACUCCCUUAUAUAAUUUGGUUGUAUGAGAAGUUGUCACAGUAAAAGAUUGUAUAACAUUGCUCUAUUAAUAAAUUUAUUUGUAUUUUCCUCCUCAUGUUUUUUUUUGUCGUCUGAAAUAUAGAUUUUUUUUUUAUUUUAAGGAAAUAUAGAUUAUUAUUUUUUUUUGUCAAGUAGUCUAUUGGCUAGAUUCACACACAUUAUGUAUGGAGAAGUAGGAAAUCCGGGGUUCAAACCCCAACCCCUGCACAAAUUAUCCUUGGUAGCCCCCAACUGAGCUACACCUACGGGACGGAAAUAUAGAUUAUUAUUGUGUAAUUUAUUGAAGUAGAACGGGUAUCAUAUUUCCCUGUCAAUAUAGUAAAUCAUCACGUGACCUAACCUAGGUUUUGAGAGGGAGGAAGGGACACGCAGUUCAAGAGAAGAGAGGCUCCGUUGCGUUGCGUAACGUUGCAGAGUGAGAGACAAGAAAGAAAGGCCCCAACCCCAAUGCUCUCUCUCUCUCUCUCUAGUCACACUCUUUCAAAUACUACUAUCUUCUUCUUCUGUCACUGUGUUGUAGCAUCAUUGCAAGAAGAGAACUCAAAAGGGUUUCAUUCAUUGCUUUCUCUUUACACUUGCACUCUUGCACCUGUGUUUCCUUUGGAUCUUCCUCUGCACUUCAAAUACUUUGUUUCUUUCUUUUAAGAAACUUGAUAGAGAGCCUUCAUUAUAUUAUUUUAAUAUCUAAUAAUAAUCAUAAGAGAUAUAUAUAUAUAUAUAUAUAUAGCUGAGAAGAGUAGAGAAAUGCAGCAGCACCUGAUGCAGAUGCAGCCCAUGAUGGCAGCUUACUAUCCAAACAACGUCACCACUGAUCACAUUCAACGUCACCACUGAUCACAUUCAACAGGUUCAUUUCAUUCAUCAUUCAUCUAUCUCCUUCUUUAACUUCAUUGCUUCUGUCUUCAUAUCUAUAUGUGUUCAAUGUAUGUUACACAUCACUUGUAUAUGGUGUCUUGUAUUGUAUUCAAAGCAAAGCUUUAGUCAACAUAGUUUACAUACAACUUGCUGGCAUCUUUCUCUGCUUCCUGGGGGCCCUUUUGUGCUCAGCAGUAGAACAGCACAGCUUUGUUUGUGGGUCUUCAUUCAUUCAUUCAAGUGAAGUGAAGUGUACUCCUUUAUUUAUUACUAUUAUAUUAUAUACCUACCUGCUUUACUCUCUUCUCUUCACUUUACUUGUCAGUUUCUGCUAUAUACCUGCACUUGCUAGGUAGAUGCUCUAGCUAAUCCUUAGUGGCUGCCUUAUGUCUGCUAAAUAUUCUCAUUCAUCAUCUAUUUCUUCCAGUUGCACUGUGCCCACUCUAUAACUCACCCAUCCCUGCCUUUGGAUGGAUUCAUUUUUGUUUUUGUUUUUACUUUCAAAACUGCUGCUGCUCCUACCUGAGAAUGUAUAUGACGUGUGCCUCUCUGUGUACACAUAUCUUAUCUGAAUCUGAAAAUUUAAUCACUGUCCUUCUUUGUCUUUAUCAAACAAACACUAAUACUUGUUUCUUUUGAUUAACACUUUUUCUCAGUGACUCACUCUUUUUUUGCUUGGUCUAGAUUUUCAACCACAUUGUUUGACCUUAUUAGUUGCUUCCCACUUUGAGACUUGGUAUCCACUCUUGUCUUCAAUAAUAAAUUUGCGUUGAAUAUGAAACUCUUUAUGUUUCUAGUGUCUUAAUCCUAGUUUAGUAGAUUUUUUGACAACUUAAAAUAAAUUGCCACAACUAGUGUUAAAAGAGUUAUACAUGAAAUGAAAUGAAAUGAAAACUGAAAAUAUGUUUAUAAGUAGUGGUAGGUCUCACCUUGUAUGUCAUCAAACAGGUUCAUUAUCAUUUAAUGUGGGACUCUAACCGGACCGUUAGUGCUCCCUUUUUUGCCAUAGACUAUUCUUUACUCGUGACCUAAUUUUGGAAUUUUAAUUAAACAGCUAACAACUCUGUUGUUUGAUGAAAAAUGAUAUUUAGAUAAUAAUUUUGAGACAACGCUCUCUCCCGUACUCUCAUUGUGUCCCAAAAUUAGAGGGAAGGAGAAGGCUGUCCCAAAAAUAGUCACGAAAUGGUUCUACAAAUAUAUUACUCUUGUUUGAUAGACCAAAAAAAUUAUAUUAGACAUCAUCAUUUGUAAUUAGAAAUGGUUGCCUUGGCAAACUAACGUCUUAUAUACUAAAUGGAGUUUGCUUACUUUAAAAGUCCGAAUAUUUUUACCAGAUCUAGUCAACUUGCACUUGGAUAAACCCUUUUCGACACCCACUCUAAUUGGGUAAAAUUCACGUGAUCCUCACCAUUUUCUAAUUUCCACUUAAAGAAUCGAGACACACAUGUUUUAACACAAUAAGAGAAUGAAUGUUUGAAAGAGAAUAUUGAAGUAAGUGUGACUAGCAUUUCUCUUGCAUAAAAUAAGAGAAAAGGGUUUAUCCAAGUGCAAGUCGACUAGAUUUGGUAAAAAUAUUCGGAUUUUUAAAGUAAGCAAACUCCAUUUAGGAUAUAAGACGUUAGUUUCCCAAGGCAACCAUUACAAAUGAUGAUGAAACCUUUUCUCUUACUUUAUGCAAGAGAAGUGCGAGUGACACUUACUCCAAUAUUCUCUUAUAAACAUCCAUUUUCUUAUUGUGUUAAAACAUGCAUGUCUUGGUUCUUUAAGUGGAAACCAUUUAGAGAAUAUUUGAGUAAGUGUUACUAAAAAUAUAUGUUUUGUUACUAAGCCUUCCCGCUGGUUUAUUCGUUUGCAUAUUUAUAUGAUAUUAUCAUGUCAUUCUUCUAACCUUUUACUUAUUUUACACAAGCAGUACUUGGAUGAGAACAAGUCUUUGAUUCUGAAGAUUGUAGAGAGUCAGAAUUCGGGCAAGCUUAGCGAGUGUGCCGAGUAAGUAUUUGUCUAAUUCUCCUAUAUAUUAGUUGAAUUCAAUUUAGUUUCUUUUCAUUAAGCAUGAGGCCCAAUAUUGAAGAAAUAGAAAAAGGUUAGAGAUGGUUUUGUUCAGACCAUCUUCUGAUGCUGCUGCUACACUACAGUAUACAUAAAUUAUGCUUGUAUUCCUUUUGGGAUAAAGGAUUAAUGGAUUUUGUCCCUAACACGUUGAUUUCUUUUAUGAACCUAAUUUUAUUUAACGGUUGAAAUUGUGAAGUGAAGGGUCCCACAUAGAACUGAAACUUCAUAUAUAAGGCGUGGCCGACACAUUACAUGACAUUCAGUUAGUUCACUUGUUUUAAUUGUUACCAAUAUCGACUUGUCAACGUGUGUGCUUAUUAGGUAUGUUGUCAUUUAUAAUCAUUGUCAUAUAUGUGAUAAUAUAUAUAUCAGGAAUCAAGCAAGGCUACAGAGAAAUCUCAUGUACCUAGCUGCAAUAGCUGAUUCUCAACCUCAACCUCCAACCAUGGCCGGUCAGGUACAAACACACGCACAUUCUGAUAUAAUUUGUUUGGUUUGGUUAAUUAUGUAUGUAUUAUCAAUACUAAUGAGUGUUUAAUCAUUGAUGAUUGAUGGUGUAGCAGUACCCUUCUGGUGGUGGAAUGAUGCAGGGUCAGCAGCAGCAGGGAGGAGCACACUACAUGCAGGCUCAGCAGAUGACACAACAACAACAACUAAUGGCUGCACGUUCCUCCCUUUUAUUUGCACAGCAACAGCAGCAGCAACCUUACUCAGCCCUUCAACAGCACCAACUUGGAGGCGGUGGAACUUCAGGACUACACAUGAUGCAAAGCGAAGCCUGUAGCAAUAUGAACGUGGGAGGAAGUAGUAGCUCAACAUUGGGUUCUGGUGGUGGGUUUCCUGACUUCAUCCGCGGUGGAGGAGAGGGUUUGCACAGAAGUCUUAUUGGAGGUAGUGGCAAGCAACAAGAGAUUGGGAUGAGUUCUUCAUCUGAUCAAGGUCGAGGCGGCGGUGGUGAUGGCGGCGAAAACCUUUACCUCAAAUCUUCUGAUGAUGGGAACUAGUACUCAAUUAGCUGUUCAGAUCGAAUUUGGUUUAAUUAGUUAUCUUGAUCCAAUUCGGAUGCAUUUUAACUUUUAUGAUCAAUUAGUUAAUUAGUUAGCUAGGAGAACUAUUAAUCAAGAUCAAUUAGCUAGCUAGGUGAAAAACUUAAUUCUGCUUCUUAAUUAGAUAAUCCUUGUUUAUCUUGUGCUUAAUUAAGGUAAACUAUUUGGUGAGAUUUGAAUUAACUUGCAUCAAAUGAAUGUUAGCUUUUGCUUUGCCUAAUCUAUGCCUCUCUCCAUACGGAUUCAUAUUGUUGAGGAAGCAACGCGGGAAAAUCCCGCUCUGAAACCAUGUUGAGUAAUUGAGAGAAUUUGAAAAUGAAAUCAUAUUUAUUCAAUGAUAUACUGAGUGAAGGAAUACAAUUGAGUACUCAAUGAAAUCAUAUUAUUAAAUGAACUUAGUAGCGGUAAUUAACUCAACAAACUUUUAACCACCUCCAACAAAUUGUUCAUGUAAUUGCAUAUGUCAGUGGAAAGCAAAUAGCAACUUCUUUCCAAAAGUAAUCUAUUACAUCGAACUUGACAGAAUCCAUUGAUCUGUUGUAAUAUGUGGUGCUCACAUCUUCAGCCGAUGUAGCUGCAAUUGUGAGUGGUGGGUGGUCCAAAUGAUCAUUGUGCAUAUGCAGAGGAAUGCUUUGAUGAGUGAAAUUGUUGGAGUUUUUACCUGUGAGGUGUUGAACUAAUGAUCUGAACUCAGAAGCAUGGCAAUCCCUUAACAGUAUAGGAUUAGAUAUAUAGGUUACCUUAACUGUUUUCUUUAGUGUUUUAUGUAUUGCCUUUUGGUGAUGUUUAGAAUCAUUGCUAGAGAGUUUUCCCAUUUUUGCAACAAAGGCGUAUAAACAAGUAAAACACUUCAACUAUAAACUAUGUAUAAUGUAUUGUCUAAUGAGGUUUUUUGGCACAUAUUAAAGGGUUUGUAAUAUCGCUAAAGAAUGGACAACACUCUAUUUAUAGAUACAUGAAUGAGCUUAAAAAAUGAAUUUCACAAUCAUGGUAAAGAAGGAGAGCUUCCGAAAAGGAAGGUCACUUGGGAAAAUGACAAAUUUGGAAAAAUUGGGAGGAUCAUUGACUUGAAAAUUGUUGUCACAACCAAAUGAGACAUUACGCAUUCAUUAUAGUUACUAAUUUUCUACUACAUAUAUUAAUAAUAUUAUUACAGUUACAAAUAUAAAAAUAUGUAUGUGGGACUUUCAUUUGGUGGCUGCUUCAUCAAUUCUAGAAUUACCGCCUAACUUUUUUGUCAUUGUUUUACUUUUCAGUCGUUUUAGAACUCCCUAGUCUUGCUUAGCAGACUAUUUUAUAUACAAUUGUAAUAUCACCCUUCUAUUAUCUUUAGAGUGAGUACUGUUACAUUUAGGUAUUUCUUUCGGUUAUUAGUUUAAUUCAUAUGUGGUCUGAUUGAUGGAGUUAAUGGAUCAUUUUGGUUUUUCAUUAUUUUGUAUGUAAUUCUCAAUAAUGUCAUGGUUUUUUCGUCUUAAUCUCCCACCUUUUCGAAUAAGACUUUAAUAAUUUAGAGUUCGAUUAAAAUAUAAGUAAAGUCAAAUUAACAAAGUGUUUAAGUUAAAACUUGAACUCAUACUUUUGAAAAUAAUUGGGUUCGACUAUCAUUUAAUCACUGUGGAUGAAAAAACUUGGUAUGAUUAUGAAUAAAUUAACUUGCCUAACCCUUUUGUAAAAAAUAAAAUAAAACUGAUUCCUCAUAUUAUAGAAGUUUAGUUCUUUUUGUUAGAUCCAACAUCAUAAAAUAGACGAAAAAUAUUAAGUGUGCUGUCAUCUCAAUCAUAUUCAAAUGUUACUUUUAUCAUGUAGUUUUGACUUGAUUGUUAUUUUGAAUUUUUUUCAAACUCCAAUAUAAAUAUAUAAUUUCUACUUUGAACACAAUUUCAAUUAUAAAUUUCAUAUAUAUUUAUAUUUCUAAUUGUCAGUUCAACAUGUUUAAAAUUGAAUUUAAAAGUUUAUACAUAUUUAAUGAAUAUGCAAUUUUGGACUAGUUUUUUCAUCUUCCAAUAAAUAUAUAUUAUUAAUUUCAUUAAAAAAAAUUAUAUUAUGUUUGUUAUAUCGUUGGUGUUAUUGAAAAAAAUAAAUAUGUUUGUUACAAUUUGAAAAUCACAAACAUCUAAUCAAUAAUCUUAAUCUAAGCCAAAAUUUUAUAAAAACACUAUUCAAAAUUUACAUGCAUUAUUUUGGUGCAGAUCCGUAAAGGCAUUGGGUAUGCAGAGGGAAGUUGGUUUGAAGAGAAUUUAAUAAGGGUGGUGAGUGAUGGUGUUUAUACUUACUUUUGAUUUGAUCCCUGAUUGGGGGUAUUUCUCUCAAGGAUCGGUUUAGGAGGUUGUUUGAGUUGUCUGUGAACUAGUUGACCCGUCGGUAUGAGACAUAUUUUAUUUGGGGUAGGAAAAGGGAGGAGAUGCUUGGAAUUGGACGCGUCGAUUCUUUGCAUGGGAGGAUGAUUUGGUAGAGGAGUGUAAGACGUUAUUUAACAAUGUUACUUUACAGGUUAGCAGUGGUAUUCAUUGGCAAUGAAAACUAGAUCCAAUUGGUGGUUACUAUGUCAGUGGUACUUAUCAGUUCAGCUAAUAAUUUGUCCCUAUUUUCCUUCACCUGUUUCAGACCUUCUUUGCAUAAGUUUAUUCCUUUGAAGGUAUCCGUGCUUGCUUGGCAUCUUCUUAGAAAUUGGCUUCAUACCAAAGACAACAUAUUUAGGUGAGACGUCCUUAAUCAAGACCUUCGCUUUGCAUGAGUGGGUGUGGUAUUGCAGAAUGAGCUAAUCACUUGUUUUUGGAUUGUAAUUUCUUUAGCAACAUUUGACACCUUGUUCGACAUUAAUUGGAUUGGUUUCUCUUCGGUUGAUUCUUCAAAUAUUUCGAUCCAUUUUAUGCAGUUUGGUCUUGUAAUUGGCGGUUCAAAAGUUCGACGAUCUAUUGUGUAUGUUAUUUGGUUUUCUUGUGUAUGAGUAAUUUGGAAAGAGUAGAAUAAUAUAAUAUUUAGCCAAAAGGAAGACUCUAUUCAUCAUCUAUUGGAUAAAGUCAAGUUGUUAUCCCAUUGAUGGAUGAAGGCAAAAUACGUUAAUUUAGCUUUCAAUUAUCAUGGAUGGUGGCUUAGUUAUUUCUCUUGUUAGAGCAUUGACUAUCCCUGAUAGAAAAUGAAACGGUAGAUAGAUGAACACGAAAAUAAACAUAAAUGACAAAAAAAAAUGUUUACGCCAAUUUUUUUUUGUUGCUCAUGAUUAGAGUUUGAUCAUGAGCUUUUUUUUUGAAGGAAGAUCAUGAGCUUUAAUGAGACUAAAACAUGAAAUAUUUCUAAAAGAGUUCAAACGCAAAUAUGAGAAAAUACAUAUUUUCUUUUGCACUUUUUAAUAUGUUUCGUACCACAUGCUUAAUAAAUUUACAUCACAUCAUAAUGUGCGGUGCCCUAGAAUAUUUAGUCAACUUUAGGCUAAUUUUUGAUGUGUCCAUGAGCUUUAAAUAGGUACAUGUCAAAUCAGUACAAAUUAUAUUCUAAUCCAUUAUCAUUGUAGUUUUUUUAAGUCGAAUAUUGUUGACAAAACUAUCCAUCAAGAAAUUUAACACUAUUGUAUUUUAGGUUAUUAGUAUACAAUAGUAUAUUAUUUUAGUUGAAAAAUAAAUAAACAAAUAGUGAAAAUAAAAUGUUAGAAGAAGUGGAAUUUCCGUUGGAGAGAGAGAGGAUUAGUAGUAACCACGAGUUGGCGCGAAAGAAAAGGGAAGAAGCGAAGUUACAGGGCGUGUUGAAGAAUGUCUGUCUCUUCCAAGAACCACUCGAUCCAUCAUCACACUCCAUCGAUCCCACUUUCACUUCCUCUUUCUAUCUCUUCUUUCUUCUUUCUUUCUUUCUUUCCUUUUUUUCACUUUCUCAAUUCACGCUACCAUCACACUUUUUGUUUCUCUCUAUGCUCAAAUCCGCCAUUUCUAAUUUACUCUUCACACCUCUAUAAUGGUACGUGUCUACUACUUUCUAUUUCAUCAAUCUACGAAUUCUGUUCUUCUUGUUGUUGUUUCAUUUUCUAAAUUAAUUUAUCAAAAUUUAUAUUCAAACUGCUAUCUUUCAUUAAUUAAUGGAAAAUGUUAACCAAUGUCCCUGAGAAAUAUCAACUGGAUCAUAAUAACAUGCACUACACGCAACAAAUUUGUAUCAAUUCAAUUCAACAUGUAUCUUUGUUUAUAAUUUAUACACAUGUAUACACACACAUUGUUCCUCAUUUCCAUGCCAUGCAUGCAUGGAACAAAAUUAUAUAUGUAUAUGACAUUAUUUUUAAAUUUCUAGUUAGAAGAAAUUUGAUCCCUUAGAAGUUAUGUUUGUCUUUAUUUGUGACGCACUUACACAGACACAAACAUUGGACACUCGCAGAAGGACACCGAUGAUCAUUUGAAAAAAUGACAUCCUUCAGUGUAAUCACAUGUGUUGGUCUCCUAUCCGACAGUAGACACCAGAUACACUUUCGAUCAAAAGUGUCAGUGCUAGAGAGAUUGAUCUUUUUGAUAGAUAAAUUAACAAGUUGUUAUUUCUAUCUGCAGGGGACUCCUGUGAAUAUUAUUGUGGGUUCUCAUGUCUGGAUCGAAGAUCCAGAUAUAUCUUGGGUUGAUGGACAGGUUUCCAAAAUCACUGGACAGGAUGCAGAAAUUGAAACGACAAAUGGAAAGAAGGUACUAUAUGUUCUUCUAAUCUUCACCUUCAUAAAUCAUCACGCUUACUUUAUGGAAAUGUUACAAAAUGUUAUACAAGGAAAAAGCUACUUCUGAUUUCUGAAUACAUGUGAUUCUAUUUUGGAUAUUUCUAGGUUGUUGCAAAGUUAUCAAAAAUAUUACCCAAAGAUAUGGAAGCUCCAGCUGGGGGAGUGGAUGAUAUGACUAAAUUGUCCUAUUUGCAUGAGCCUGGAGUCCUGGAGAAUUUAAAAAUUAGAUAUGAAUUGAAUGAAAUAUAUGUAAGGCUCAUUUCCCUUUACUAUGAUAAGUUUGCAACUUGUUUUUAUCAGCCCUAAAAGCACUUAACCAUCUUCUUAAUUCCUUUUACAGACUUAUACCGGAAACAUAUUGAUUGCAAUAAAUCCAUUCCAAAGAUUACCUCAUCUUUAUGAUGCACACAUGAUGCAACAGUACAAGGGAGCGCCAUUUGGAGAGUUGAGCCCUCAUGUAUUUGCAGUUGCUGAUGUUGCAUAUAGGUAUUAUACAUUUUUUUUCUGAUUGUCCAAAUUCCAUUUCUAUCAUUGAACCAAAUUUCUAAUCAGCGAUUUCAUUAACACCAGGGCAAUGAUUAAUGAAAAGAAAAGCAAUUCAAUUCUGGUCAGUGGGGAAAGUGGAGCUGGUAAAACUGAAACUACGAAAAUGCUUAUGCAAUACCUUGCUUACUUAGGUGGUAGGGCAGCCACUGAAGGACGAACCGUUGAACAACAAGUUCUUGAAGUAUGAUUUCUUUUUUUAUCUUCCCCUACAGCGCAAAAUUCAAUUUUUCUCUUCUUGAACUGCCACUCAUUUGAGACUUUUGUAUUAACUUAUUUGAGUGCAGUCAAAUCCAGUUUUGGAAGCAUUUGGUAAUGCUAAAACUGUCAGGAAUAACAAUUCCAGGCAAGUCUUCCUUACAUGUGAGCAGUAAAUAUUCUUGUGUUUAUUUCUCUAUGAUAUGCUGAUAUAUAAAUUAACUUUGUUGCAAGUCUUUGUUAAAUACGGGAAAAGUGAUUCAUUGUGUUUCAUUCUCCCUGAUAGUUCGAUAUAUAAAUUAAAUCUAUAUCCAAUUUGUCUCCCUACAUUCCCUAAUUCUCUACCAUAAUGCCAAGAUUCAAUGAGACAGCAUUUAAAUUGAUUGCCAUUAAUCAAUUUUGCUCUCCAGAAAUGGAAUAUAAACAACUACAUGAAGCCUACUUAACCUUCAUUCUUUUAUCAAUUAUUAGUUUAAAAAAUAUCAUUCUCUUAAUGGUGCAGUCGUUUUGGUAAGUUUGUUGAGAUCCAAUUUGAUAAGAGUGGAAGAAUCUCAGGCGCAGCCAUUCGUACGUACCUUCUUGAGAGAUCACGGGUUUGCCAAGUUAAUGACCCAGAACGUAACUACCACUGCUUCUAUCUUCUUUGUGCUGCACCACAAGAGGUUAACUUCUUCAUAGCUUACUUUCUAUUUAUUCUUUUAAUUAUAUAAACUCAUUAGAAUUUAUGUUGACAGGAAAUCGAGAAAUACAAAUUAGGACAUCCUAAAACAUAUCACUACCUUAACCAGUCGAAAUGCUAUGAAUUGGCUGAUAUAAGCGAUGCUCGUGAGUAUCUUGCCACCAGGAGAGCUAUGGAUAUCGUUGGAAUAAGCCAAAAAGAGCAGGUUUUUCUUGUCAUGAGUGUGAAUUCAGAUUUUUUUUUUCUUCUGUUAUAAUAUGGAAUUAUUAGAUUCUUACCUCUUUACUUUUCUCUGCUGUAUCUUUUGUCAGGAAGCAAUUUUCAGAGUUGUUGCUGCAAUUCUUCAUAUUGGCAAUAUUGAUUUUACCAAAGGAAAGGAAGUCGACUCAUCGGUUCCAAAAGAUGAUAAAGCCAAAUUCCACUUGAACACAACUGCUGAGCUCCUCAUGUAUGGAUCAAAGUGUAUUGUUGUUCAAUGCCCAUAUGACUUUCAAUUGCCUCUUAGAUAAUUACCAUUAUUGGAUUUUGCAUGUUAUCAGGUGUGAUGUAGGUGCCUUGGAAGAUGCAUUAUGUAAGCGUGUCAUGGUCACCCCUGAGGAAAUUAUAAAACGGAGCCUUGAUCCCCAAAGUGCACAAAUCAGCAGAGAUGGCUUCGCAAAAACAAUGUAUUCUAGGCUCUUUGACUGGUAAGAUGCUGAAAAUGGAAACCAAUCUAUAGUGCCGUCCUUCGUAAUUCUAGUUCGGACUACAAAUUCAUAAGGCAGGGAUCUUGGACUAUGGUUUUGAUCCUUGGUGCAUUAACAUGGUUGUUAACAGGUUGGUGGACAAGAUUAACAAUUCAAUUGGACAAGAUGCCAAUUCUAAAUCUUUGAUCGGGGUCCUUGAUAUCUAUGGUUUCGAAAGCUUUAAAUCUAACAGGUAAUAUGUAGUUUAUAAGAACAAGCAUGCCUCUUGAUACCACAAUAUUGUAUUACUAAAGAUGUGAAAGCAGCAGUGUCUGCUUGUUUUCAAUCCAGUGCAACUUAUUUUCAGUUUUCAUGCUCUGCAGUUUUGAGCAGUUCUGCAUUAAUUUUACAAAUGAGAAGUUGCAACAGCAUUUCAAUCAGGCAAAAUCUCAGACCAGAUAAGAAGCUUCAUUUUGUUAUGACCAUUAUUUCCAUGUUUAAUACGUUUUUCAUGAUGACUUUCAGCACGUGUUUAAAAUGGAACAAGAAGAAUAUACAAAGGAACAGAUCAAUUGGAGCUACAUUGAAUUUGUUGACAAUCAAGAUGUUUUGGACCUUAUUGAAAAGGUUUUAUUUCUCAUUUUGUCACUUUCUUUAAGGGGCUGAGGAUUCUAGUAGUUCAAUUUGAGUUUAAAAGCAGUCAAUUUGGAUCUUCCGAAAUGAAAUGGAAUUUAAUUCUAGUAUGCUUAUUGGUGAUUUAAAUUUUGAUUAUUUAUCUAACUAUCUUAUUGUUUAAAUAUCAUCCCAUAAUCUAUCUUAUGUGACUAAAAAUAAUGGAAAAUUUAUUAAUUCAAUCUAAAAAAAUCAACUAAAUAAUUAUAAAGCAACUGCACAGAAAGAGGAGAAGCAGGAGAAGGGAUGGGAGUGAACUUGGUUAAUUGGUUCUAUAGUUGCUUCUUUGAAAUGAACCAAAAGAGCCCUGUUGAGUAUAUUACACAAAUAUUUCAUCUCUGGAUUUCAGACAAACAAAAGUUUACAGUUCAGAUACUACUGUUAUUAAGCGAUCUUUCCCUAGGUUGUAACUUUGUUCAUU
rnacentral:lncRNA from 1 species